rnacentral:lncRNA from 1 species
UAGCUCUUUACCUACGAGCGGGGUAGCUCUUGACCUAUGAGUUUGAGUUAGAGUCGGGGCGAAGAGCGGGGUAGCUCUUGCCCUUAGGCAUUUGAGUCAUGAGUUGGGCGAGGAGCGGGGUAGCUCUUCACCUAUAGGACUUGAGAUCUGAGUCGGGUAAGAGCGGGGUAGCUCUUUACCUAUAGUGUUAGAGUUGUGGGACGGGUGAAACAAGGGCGGGGUAGUCCUUCACCUAUGUGAUUUGAGACAAGGGCGGGGUAGCCUAGUGGAUUGGUUAAAGACAUGAAUUGCAUAAGUGGAUCCGCAUUCAUACCAUGAUUAGACAUAGUACACUGCAUAACUAUGUUGUAGUUGUAUAUAUUUCAUUGUUAAAGCAUACUAGCAGGAUAAAUGAUGUUGCAUGCAUUCCUUGCAUUUGGUGGCAUAGUAGAUAUAGUAGCAGCUUAUUUUUAUAUAUCUCUCUAUCUAUCUAUCUGUGCCAGCUUGGACCUAGUGGGAAGAUCGGCGGAGUCGGCGGCCGAACCCACUGGGAACUAUAUUUUUAUAGUUCUCACCCCGUGUGGUUUUGGGGUACAGGUACACACGUGAGCGGACCGGCAGGUGAUCGCGGUAAGGGCGUAGCGCCCUAGCUAGCUAGUAGAGCUUUCCUAUUGUACUAGAGCACCCUCGUGUGCAUGGUUAUAGAUGACAUGUUGUAUUUUGAAUAGCUAGCAUUAUGUAUAUGUGAUAUGAUUAUGUAUUCAUUUUGGAAGCUUAAAUGUAAUCAAGUUGUAUUAAAGGUUGAAUGGAUGUAAAUGUUGAAGGUCAAAUGUGAUGUAAUAGAUAGUUAUAUCUCUCUUUUAUUCACUUGUUUAUACUUGUGAUGCUUGCUCUUGUAAUGUUCGGCACUGGUUGUGCCCUCGCUAUUGUUUUGAUCAUGUAUGUAUUCAAGUUGAUUUCCUGGGCACUUGUUGUACAUGAUCCUGUUGUUUAGCCUUGGGCGGACAGGGGAGGUGCUGUCCGUCCGGCGUCUGUUCGACGCGCCCGGAUCGGACCAAAUUGGUAGCGGUCUCGGGGCGUGACAUAUGUGGUUCACGAGGCGUCUGCAAAUACUGAGCAACAGAGUUGACAGCAUACGAAAUUUUCAGUCUCGUGAGGGUGAGAUACUGGAGAGCAUCGACAAGCUGACGAUAGACAUAAGGAUCGUCAAGAAGACGGCCCUCAUGAGACGAGAGGCAAAAGGCCGGAGAAAGAGGACUAGAGACAGGCUUACAAUCAAGAAAGCCAUGGCGUUGAAGUAGUUGAUGCGCAUAUUUAUGCGGAGUCAGAUGAAGACUAGAAGAAGACGGAGUAACCUCAAUGCCCAAGAAAUAAUGGAGCGGCCCGAGAUUCUUCAUAGCAAAUUCACAUUGUAGGGUGACAAUAAGAGCCUCCAAAAGAGAGGAGCUGCCAGUGAUAAUAAUAUCAUCAACGUAUAAAAGAAGAACGAGAGUGCCAGAAGAGGAAUGAGAAAUAAACAUCGAGGGAUCUGCAGUACUGCUGACAAAACCAAGUUUAGAAAGAAAUAAAGUGAACCGCUGAAACCAAGCCCGAGGGGCCUGCUUAAGACCAUAGAUUGCCUUGCGGAGACAACAAACGUGAUGAGGAAGAGAGAGGUCCACAAAACCCAGUGGUUGUGCCAUAUAAACCUCUUCAGAGAGAAUUCCAUGAAGAAACGCAUUCUUCACAUCAAGUUGUCGAAGAGACCAACCAGAGGAUAAAGCCACGGAGAGAACAGUACGAAUAGUGGUCGCCUGGACAACGGGAGAAAAAGUCUUAUCAAAAUCAACACCUCGUUGUUGUUUGUAAUCCUGAGCAACAAGUCGAGCCUUGAGACACUCAAGAGAACCAUCCGCCUUAUGCUUACCUUGUAUACCCAUUUACAUCCAAUGAGAUUAACGGAAGAAGGAGGAACGAGAUCCCAAGUAGCAUUAGUCAGUAAGGCAUCAAAUUCCUCAGCAAUGGCAACACGCCAACCUACAUCCUGAAAAGCCUCAUGAAAAGAAGUAGGCUCAGUAGGAAGAGUAGAAUGGACAGAAGCGAGUAAGGAAGUAAACCCUGUGGAAUCCUUAGUCAGGGAGUGAGUGAGCAUAAAAUGGGUACGGGCAGGUAGCGGAGCCACAGAAGAUGAAGGAGAUGAGACAGUAGCAGGCUGAGGAGGUGGAUUAUCAGAGAAGGUAGUUGGCACAUCAGUAGCGGAUGGAGAAGCAGCAGCAGGCCGGCUGGCGUGUCGUCUAGUACAGGCCCGGAGCUCAGAUGGACCAACAACAGUGGCAACAUUCUCAGGACCAACCUGUGGAGCAUCAGAAUGCAAGCUAGAAGGAAAUAUUGAUAAGUCCUCAGACGUUGAAACCGAUGUGUGUGAACCAAUAUCAGGAGGAAUGCAACUAGGCUUUACCUGUCUGAGUAAUAUCAAGUAAAUUUCCAUUACCAACAAGAACUUUUUCAUACUCUUUAUAAGGUUUAGAGGUUGAGAGAAUACCAAAAGUUGCGGUCAUAUGAUUAAAUGCUCCGGUGUCAGGAUACCACACUUCCUCACCAGGUUCAUGAAGGUUUAUAGCAGCAAAGGUUUGAGGAAGAUCAUCUGCAACAAAGGAAUGAUUGAAGCGUUGUCUGCACUUAAGAGCCGAAUGAUUAAACUUGCCGCAGAUCUAAUAUUGUUUGUCAGAUUUCGAAAUGUAAGGUUGAUAGGUCGGAGUAUAGGGUUCAGAAUUAUUAGGUUGAGAAUGCGAAUGGGCUCCAGGGGAUCCACGACCAGGAUAUGAAUUGAAUCUACCGCGUUGUCCCCGACCAUCGCGAUAUCUACCUCCACGACCCCCACGGCUUCAGCGUCACGAUUUGCAUAAAGAGCUUCGCCAUCGAUAGUGGGAGUGGCUGGUGAUGUCGUCAAACUAGUACGACGUUGAACUUCAGUUUCUUCUUGCAUUAGAAGUGGACGAAGUUGUUCAAAAAUAGGCUUAUGUCGAUGUGUAUUAAGGGCACUGACAAACCCCUAUAUGCUUCUAGGAACCCAAGAAGAACUGUCAUGACCAAGUUAUGAUCUGAUUCAGAUUCACUGAUCGCUUGUAGAGCAUCACCAAUUGAUUUAAUCUUUUGCAUGUAAUCGCUCAUGUUCAUUGAACCUUUCUUGAUGUUUCGCAAUUCGGACUUUAGAGAAAAAGCCGUGGAAGCAGUUUUAUCAAGAAAAUAUGCUUCAAUAGUUUUCCAAGCAUCAUAUGCAGUUUUAGGAGAACUAGAAAAGACCAUCUGUAAUAUGCUAAGAGAAAGGGUGGCAUUAGUCCAUGAGAGUACAGUGGUGUCUUUCUUUUUCCAAUUUUGAUAUUCUGGAUUUGCACUUGUUUUCUUAUCAGAAGUUUCAAUAGUUUGAAGCGGUAUAGUACCAGUACCGUCCACAUGCGAUGUAACACCAAAACUCUCCAAAACAUUAAGAAAAAUUUAUUUCCACACCAAAUAUGUGGAAUCCACAAGUUCAAGUGGUAUGAGAGUUUUGAUGUUAACCACUGGCAGGUUUGAAGAGGAAGACACGUUACCACCAAAAAAAAAAAGAAAAAGAAAAAAAGAUCCACCACGAGAGAGACAAAUCCGAAAAAUAGACCAAGUAAUCACAGAUCUAGAGGAGAGAGGAAAGAGAGUCAGAGUUGAACCCGGGAUGAACUGACGGUACUUGAGAUCAAUCAGGCGACACCAGUAAGCAGCACCAACGAGAUAAGAAGAAACUCCAAGAGGCUGAAAUUACUGCAGUAAAACACUGUAGCAUUGAUACUGUAGCGGCAGUACUGUAGCGCCGGUGCCGUAGUAGUACUGUAGCGCAGUACUGUAGCAGUACCGGGGAGAUAAACAUUCAGGUAUCGUUUGGUUCGGGGAUAAGCAAAAAGUGGGUAUUCCAGGGAUAGGUAUAAAUUGAGGUAUAAGCGGGGAUUAGAUCAAUUUUGCGUUUGGAUGAAAAUUGGAUUAUUCCUAGGAAUAAGAAAAAUAACGUUUGGUUAGGUAAGAUAGAAUAAGAUUUAAAGUGGGUAGUUAUAAAUAAAAAUUAAUAAUAUUAUCACUUUUUUUAUUUAUAUUAGAAUUUAAAUUUUUAUAUUUUAUAUUUAUAUUUUAAAAUUUAAAUUUUAACUUUUAAAUUUCAAAUUUUGAAAUUAAAAUUUAAAAUUUAAAAUCUCAAAUUUUAAAUUCAAAAUUUAAAUUUUAAAUUUCUAACUUUAAAUUUAAGAUCAAAUUUAAAUUUGAAAAAAAAUAAAUUCAAAUUUAAAAUUUCAAAAAUUUAAAAUUUUAAAAUUUAAAUUUAAAAUUUAAAAUGUGGAAUUUAAAAUUAUAAACUUUAAUUUUGAGAUUACAAAUUUUAAAUUUUAAAUAUAAUUUAUUAUAAUAUUUUAAAUUUUAAAUUUAUUUAAAUUUUAAAUUUUAAUUUAUUUUAAUAUUUAAAUAUAAUUUAUUAUAAAAUUUAUUAUAAUAUUUAAAUAUAAAUAAUAUGUAUUAAUAUAGCACAAUUAAUAAUUUUAUAAUAAAAAUAAUGUAUUAUAAUAUAUAAUAUAUUAUAUUUAUAUAAUUUAGUUUUAAUUUAUUUUAUAAUUUUAAUUAAGUUUGAAAUUAAGCAUGGGAAUAGCACUAUUCCACCAAAAUGGUGGAAUAGUAAAAAGCUUGCUAUUCCGGAAUAACCGGGAAUAGCAAGCUUUGACCGGAAUAAAAUAUUCCGGUAAAAAAUGAUCCCGUUUGGCGGAAUAGUGGGGAUAACUUUCGUUAUCCCCGCUUAUCCCCCUAACCAAACGGGGCCUCAAGGAUUAUAGGAGAUAGAACACCAAAAGAAAAAGGCACCUAUGGAAGAAUGUGAGAUUUGUGGUGGAUGGUGGCUAUGGAUCGAUAUCCCCAAAUUAGGGUUCCCGCUCUAAUACCAUGAAAGAAGGGUAAAAGAGUAUACCCUCAUGAAUUCUAUUGAUGAUGUUAUAUAGUACAAGAGAUGAGUCUAAUAUAGUAACAAUGCCUAAUAUAGUAACAAUAUAACUAGGCAUCUCAUAUCAUGUAAUCCUACUCUAAAUAUGUCGAGAUAUAUAGCAUCCUCAUAUAGCAUGAGAUACUAAAUAUGUCGUAACACAUGGAGGCAAUGGUAAGGCAUGAGCUAGUUAAGGUUGGAAAGAUGAAGAAAGAUUACAACAAUGCCGUAGAAUGGAGAUGGAAAAGAACAAGAAGGUUGUGGUGGUGAAGGUUUAAAGAAAAAGGUAAUGUUGUUAUCCUCGCCUCAUAACUCAUGGUGUAUUCUCUUGAAGAGUGUUCAUAAUAUAUUGCAGAUAAAAAGUAGAAUUUGACAGCUCAGUGGUGAAGUAGAAAUUGUGAUACAUACAAGAAUUUAUUCUGUAUUUUAGGGCCUGUUUCGUUCCUCAGAAAUUUCCCUAGAAAACUUUUUUCAAGUUGGAAAAAGUUUUUUCUGUGUUUGGUUCACAGGAAGAACAGAUUUUUUAGAAAAUUAUUUUCCAUAUUUCACGGAAAACUUUCCUUUUUGUUCUCCAAAUUUUUUUAGAAAAAUGAAAAAAAUUUUCUUACGAACAUUUUAAGGAUUUAAAAAGGGAAAAUCUCUUUGCUAAUACAGUAUACAUUUACUACCCAAUCGUCAUCUCAACCAUCUCCCACUGUCAGCUCUAUCUCCCCAAAUUAUAUAUAUAUACACGGUAUAAUUAUCUCCAUCUCCUAUCGGUCAUAUCAAUCACCUCCAUCUCUUUUGUUAAACUAUUUAUUUACACCAAAAUAUACUUAAAAUUUAUUUUUAUUUAAUUAUUUAUUAUUUAUAUUGUAAACAAUUUGUGAGUAUUAUGUUAAAUUUAAAAAUAAAAGGUUGGUAAUCUCACCAUCCUUUUAUAGAAGGUAUUUAUAUACCAAAAUUUUCAACCAAAAAAACAAGUGAAAUCGAAAUAAAAAAAUUAUUUUUUAUUUUUUUCUUACCACCCAAACACGCAUACAUGGAAAACUAAUUUUCUUUUCCGUCGAACCAAAUGAUAGAAACUAAAAAAAAAAUUUUCACAAAAAACUUUUUUCCUCAAAAAAUAGUUUUCUACUAUUUUCCAAGGAAUCAAUCAGGCCCUUAGCCUAAAAUAGAAAUGUAAAAAUGCCUUAUAUAUGUUAAUAUAUAUUCCUAGGCCCAUAUCUUACAAGACAAUCUUUUGGGUAACAUGGUAUCUGAGCCAAAUUCUAAACUCCUGUCUGUGAGAUCAAAGGUUUGAUCACCACCUUCAAUUUCUAGCGGAUUAAAUUUCCACAUCAUAUUUCCCUCACCUAUCAAAUCCAUAUGGCUUUCAUACCUGUCAUGCACAUUAAGUAUGGGGUGUUAAUAUAUAUUCUUGGGCCUAUAUCUUACUAGAUUGAUCUCUUGGAUAACAAUAUAAUUUUAAGAUACUUGUUUGUUACUUCAAAAGAGGGGGCUCUGACAUUAAUUUGUGACAAACAAGGUUGUAAAUAGCGGAUAGCAAGUACAUAGCAGUUGGAGGGUCCCAUAGCGGACAGUAGAUAACGGGUGCUAUAGUGGGCGCGCUAUGAACCCAUAGCAGGUUUCAUAAAAACUUGCCUAAUAUGUUCAUGUUCCUCGUAAAAGAUACAUAUAAUAUUGAAGAUAAGACAACUAAUCAUUUCUGUUUUUAGCAUUGCAAGCCUAUACAAAUUUAAUGUCAUUAUCUAUUAAGAUUAACUUUAAAAUAUUACAAUUUAGCAAACCAAAAAAGCCAAAAAACUCGAAAAAUCUAUAAUCCAUUAACAAUCUAAAUUUACAAUUUGUAAAUGAAUGUCAAAAAGGAUAUCUUGGGUAAAUGAAUAAAAUAUUAUUCAUCAGGAAGACAUUCUUCUUCUUCUUCUUAUUCACUAGAGGUAUUCUGGUCAUCCAUCUCAACAUUUGUUUCUUCAUCUCCUUCCGAUUCCGACGACUCAUACUCCAUAUCAUCAACAGUUCUAGUAUUUGCUCUCUAUGUCUAUGUUGUGGCUUUCCUUCUUGCAUUCCUCCUUGUCUGUGACUCAAACUUUUUAAGUUUUAGGCUCAUAGCGCCCGCUUUCCGGCAGCUUUAUAGUGGCCGCAUUAGCGGGCCCUAUGCCGUUAAAGCAGCCACUAUGAACCCAAUCCACUAAAUUCCAUUUUAGAGAAUAUAGCAUAGCGAUACCACAUAAAAGCUGCUAUAGCGGCCUGUCACGGACUUAAGCUAAAUCGCUCGUUUAGCCCGUGCGGCGCUCACCUUCCUUCGCGAAGUGAGCAAGUCUACCUCUCUACUUGCUAAGUUAGGACCUACUCGCAGAGAGAGAGUUUGAGUAAUGUUGAGUGUUGAUAAAAGUUGAGAAUACAACUGAUUUCCUAAGAAGGGGGUGGAGGCACAACCUUAUAUAGGCCACUCGCCACCCAGACUACAAAUGAAAAGACGCCAAGUGGUGCAUACUUAAAAGGCAAAAAGGGAGGCUACAAGCUCCCAAGAGACUACAAUUAUUGCCUACCUAGAAAUCCUAAAGGACUGUUGACCCUUCAGCAUCCGUACCAUCAGUCCUGAGAUCCAUGUAGAAGCUUCUAGAACGUCCCAGCAAAACCUCCAACAAAACGCUCCUUCGGAGAUUGGGCCACUGUCAAGGAGAAGUCAGUAGAAAACAUUUUGUCCGUGACAACCUCCCCCACCUAACGCGCAGACGCCCUCGUCGCGCGCCGAGCUGCUCACGGUCCGCGUAGCCUUCAAGGCAGUCUGUCGUACCUUCGCGCCCGAUCGGCCCCGUGCCUUGUUACCACAGUCUACCCGCACCAGCUCCUAGUGCCUUGCCUCUCUGAGCAUGUACACCAGCGAACCCGCUGUGCGAAGAAUCCACCAAGUGUGUACACACGCACACUCCGCCAAGCCGCAAAACGCCUCUUGGUCCCCUCGGACUCCUGCUAGACAGAAUGAGUUGAACCUUGAUUGGGCGCUAGCUGCUUCAACGCCUCAUAAGACUUGACAAGCUCGCUGCUGCUCAGGUCCUCGAGUUCCUCAACCUUCCCGCACUUCACCUCCUCGUAAAGUUGCAGGGCUGUCAGAGUUCGGUCAUUCGUCGGCUCGCCCCAACACAUCGGAACCAUGCAUGAUGCUGACUCGUCCAGGAAACUCAGCACCCACAAGUGUGCCAUGGGUGCUGCCGCCUUCGACGAAAUAAGGAAGUCUAUCCCGAGAAUCACUCCAAAGUCAUCGAGUGGCCCAACAGUGAGAUUAGCCUUGCCCCUUCACGGGCCGAUGGCUAUCUCCACACCUUUGGCAACUCUCACGAUCGGCCACGACUCAAAGUUGACCACCUUGAUGCGGCUCGCAUCCUUCUCGAGUGUGAGGCCCAACCGCUUGGCCUCCGCCUCCGCAACAAAGUUGUGCGUCGUCGAUGUCGAUCAUCGCUCACGUGGUCCUCCCGUUGAGGAUCAAAUCGACGAACAUGAGCUCCCUCCUGUGGAGCUUGGUGCUGCUUGGUUGACCGCAAAUUGCGCUGACGAGCCUUAGCGCACCCAUCCUCGACAGCUUGACCACGUCUUCGCCCUCAGUUUGGACCCCAGCAACUUGCUUUCCUUCAUGGUUGCCCCUUUUUAGGCAGUCCCGCGGCCAAUGAUUCUCAUCGCAAACAUAGCAAAAGAUCUUUGCAGGCGGUGAGGCGGGAUUCUGUUGUCGCCUCCUCAUUCAUGGUUUGGCUUGUGCCCCCUCGCGCCCCCUGGCUCAUAGUGCCCUCCCCCACCUUUGGCCUCGCUCCCGUUUGGUGGUUCACCUCGAUCGCCCUCGAUUCGCUCCCGCUCGAGCAACUUCUCUGCUAAAGCGAUCACGGAGUUCAAGUCCUUCAUGUCUCGCGCCACAAGCUCCUUGUUCGCCCACGGCUCAAGGCCAUCUAGGAAGAAGAAUAGUCGAUCCUUAUUGGCAAUGUUGGAGAUCGCCAACAUGAGUUUUGAAUACUCUUGGUCAUACUCCUUGAGUGUACCCCGAUGUUUGAGCCGUCGAAGCUGCCUCCACACAAGAUAUUCGACAUGCGCGGGAUGGAACUAUGCCUUCAACUCGCGCACGAAGCCCUCCCAAGUCUUUAGCUCGCAUUGGCCCCUCACGGCCUCUACAGAACACCGUCACCACCAUAGCAUUGCGUUGUCGGCGAGGUACAUGGAAGCGGUUUUGACCAUGUCGUCCCCGUCCUCCAACCACAGCACCUUCAGAUAGGACUCUAUGUGCCAUACGAAAUUGCCUAUCUCCUUCUCAUCACACAUGCCCUUGAAGCAUUGGGGUUCAAGGAUGCAAAUCUUUGAGGUGUACUUCUUUCGCACAUCGACGCCGCGAGGCACCUUCUCAAGAAUGGUCACCUGCAUCUUGAGGUCCUCAACCUCGUCGACCGUGGUGACAUAAGUCCUCCACCAGCACCUUCCACUCGUCCUCGCGAUAAGCGAGGUCUAUCGCGAGGUCCCUGCAAAACUCCUCGAGCUAAUGGCCAAAAAUCGUCAUAGCAGUCGCGAUGCUGUCCUCGAUAGCAUCAUGUAACAUAUCACUUCCCCGUAAAUCGUGCCGAGUUCCGUCUAAAUGUGCGGAACGCGGAGUGGAACAAGUCGGUAUGGGUCCUAAGUGUAUUGGAACCCAUAUAUAUAGUAAAGGGACCCGAGAGAGUGAAAAUUGCAAUUCUGGCUAAGUUCCAGAAUUUUAGACUCUCGGGGACCGAUCCCUGCAGGGAGAGACCGGUCCCAGUAUGCGUAGCCUGCCCAGAAAGCUGAAAAAUCGGCUAAGUCCUGGAAGACUAGGCUACGGGAACUGGUCCCUGCGAGGAGAGACCGGUCCCCGUAGGUGAAAAAGUUAGGAAAUGGCUAAGUCAGGAAAUAUUGCUCUCGGGAACAGGUCCCUGCGGGGAGAGACCGGUCCCUGUGCGCUCAGUCAACCCGAAAAGAGUGAAAAUUUGGCUAAGUCCUGAGAGGUGUACUCUCAGGGACCAGUCCCUGUAGGGAGAGACCGGUCCCCGUAUGCGAAAAUUGCCCAGUUAGGCUGAAGUGAAAAAUAGAAAGUUGAGGGACUUGUGGGCAAUUGUGACAUGAGAUGGGUGUAUAUGUGAGAGAGCAUAGUGUUAGGGCUCAUUUGCUCCCACACCAAGCAUAAUAUCUCUUUCUCUCUCUCUCUAAAACCUUCUCUUCUCUCCUUCUCUCUCUCUAGGGUUGAUCAAGAGAGGCUUUUGGAGAGGUCUUGGUGGAGAAGAAGAUCAAGAUAGAGGUGUUGCUUGCUAUUGAGCAAGUGUACAAGGAAGAGCUUGAACCAAAGGUGAGGUUUCUUGGUUUUAAGCUAGGUUUUGGGUUCGUUUCCGUCUAGCAUGCUAGAGGUUUUUCCCCCAUAGUAUCCAUGCUAGGGACUAGUUUUGGGGAAGAUGACAUUAUAUAAGGACCUAUACUUAGGGUUUUGUAAUAAUGAGGUCGAAGCUUGGGUUUGAUCUCAUUUUAACCUAAUUGGUUGGUCAACGAACGCGUUGGUGCGCUCGGUUCGGCGAUACGACGAGCAUGCGCGGAGAUAUUGAAGAAACUGGUUAAAUCGGUACAGAUCGCCGUAGCUCCCGGCGAAAGCAUCUGAAAAUCAUGAAAAUUGGACCACGGCAUCCUAGUAGCACUGAAAGGUGGGGGGUGUUGUCCGGAAACACCGGAUCUCUUUCUAUAUCUAUGUCACUUCAUUUGAGCAUAUUGAUGUUAGCAUUUAUGCAUGUAGGGUAGCUUACUAUGUGUUCUUGGUCGAAUUGCAUUUAGAUGCUUAAGGAAUAUGUGAAAUGAUAAAGAACCAGGUGAACCAGGUAUGAAAGAACCCUAUGUGUAUGUGAAUGCGAGAACGGACUAUGACAAUAGUGAACAAAGGUGACAUUGACAUUAGUGACCAGAUUGGCACCGAGAAGGUAAAUGACUAAACAAGGUUUAGCUUAUUAUUGGCAUCCGGACCAUUGUGGCUUUGUGUAUUGAGACAGGUUUGGCAAGACUUCCUCAAAUUGAGGAUUGGAUCGUACUCACACUAGCUAUGGCUUGAGGACGGUAGCUCCUCCUCAAGUGGUGUACUCCGGAGUGUAGACACCACGGGGAGAGGCCCCGUCAUCGUUCUCUCGGGUGGUAGUGCUAGUAGCCUCCCCCGGUAGACGGGAAUCGUGGUUUGUGAGUUUCGGGUGAACCAAGAGUACCCCAGGGUGAUUGGGUAAGGGCCAAAAGAAAAGAAAAUAAACGAGAAAGGACAUACAUGCAUAAUUAUCAUGUACUGGUAUAUCUAUCUAUCUGUGGAUUGCUUUCUUGCAGGCAUUGUAAUAGUUUUGCAUUAGUUGGUUUGCAAUCUAUCGUUUCUUGAAUUACAUAUGCCUGAAAUAGGCCUAGUGGGCGAAUCGGCGCGGUCGGCGGGCGAACCCAUUGGGAACUUCGUUCUAGUUCUCAUUACCACUAACCCUGCAGAUCCGUGUGCGAGCGGGGCGGCGAAGGAUCGAGGCAAGGGUAUUGCACCGUAGCUAGCGGCCUCGGAGUAUAGGCAUACCCUACAUUUUGAGUAUUCAACUUUUGUAUGUUGAACCAGUAAGGAUAAUGAUGUAAUUCAUGUAUUUUGGGUUAAAGACCAAUGUGAUGUAAAUGAAUGAAUGUAAAUAUAAUAGUUUACUUGUGUUUGAUUCAAAGGUAAUCAAAUGACAUGUAGGUGGAUGAAUGAUUAAUUAGUAUCGAUGCUUUCACGUGUAUGUUGUUGUUUGCUCUCGUGCAAACCUUGUAUAUCUUGCAAUCUCUUUGUUGACUUGUUUGUAAUAUACAUGUUGAUUGAGCCUUGGGCGGACAGGGGAGGUGUUGUCCGUUCGGCGUCUGUUCGCGUGCCCGAACUGACCAAAUUGGCGGCCCCGGAGCAUGACAAUGCAGCCUAUCCUCUAUUAUCCCCACAUAUUGGGAGAAGACGGAAUAGUGCUCCUCCGCUUUCACGGCAGAGUCCUCCAGCAUGCUCAUGCAGUGCUCGAGCAAGACAGACUCUCUUGCCAGAGUCCGCGGCUCCUUGCUCUUGCCGCACUAGGUCGCCCUGGGCUCAGUCACAACGUCACCGAUGGCAGCUUCCAACGUAGACAUGGCUUCCCAGCAACAAACUCUCUCUGAUAUCAAUCGUCACAGACUUAAGCUAAAUUGCUUGUUUAGCCCGUGCGGCGCUCACCUUCCUUCAUAAAGUGAGCAAGCCUACCUCUCUACUUGUAACGUAUCGUAUCCCCGUCGAGCUGUACCGAACUUUCGUCAAAACGACCGAAGUGCGGAGUCGGACGAGUUGGAACGGUCCGCAAUGUAUUCCAAAUGCUUUGGAAUUGCUUGUGAAGGGUCUAUGGACAUAGGAGAGCAAGCUGGGAAAGUUGCAGCUCGAAAACUCCAAUUUUUGCUCUCGGGGUCCGGACCCUGCACACGGUCCGGACCUCGUAGCCGAAAACGGCUAGGGCUGAGUUGCCCUGUUUUGUGUAUUCGAGAGGGGGUUAUGUGUGAUUGUGUUUGUGUGUAUAUAUGGGAUGGUUAGGGUUUUGGCCUCAUUUCUUCACACUCAACACCAAAAGGAGUCCCCUUUCUCUCUCUAAAAACCUCUCUCUCUCUCCUUCUCACUCUCUCACUAGGGUUGUGCAAGAGAGGCUUUGGGUGGAGAAGAAGCUUGCUUGAGGUGGAAGAUAGCUAGUGCAAGGGGCUUAGAGGAAAGCUUGGAAACCUAAGGUAGGUUUUCAUGAUUAUUAGCUAGGGUUUAAUUACUUCCUUCUAGUAUAUGUUUCUAGGAGUUGAAAUGGUGGAUUUGGUCAUGCUUCUCCAUGUUUAGAGGACUUAUUUGGAGAACAUGAUAAAAUCUAGGGUUAUAUUAGGGUUAUGCAGAAUAUGGGAUCUAAGUUGGAAUUGAUCUCUUGUAGCCCUAAUUGGCGGAUAAUCUGACGCGUUGGUGGACUCGGUUCGGAAUUCCGACAAGUCUACGCGACGAUUUUGGGGAAAAAGCCUAUUUUGGCUUCGUUUCGCCGCAGUCGAGAGAAAUCGGCGUCUAUAAAUCCGAGACUUGAACUGUAGCUUCUCGACAUCCCUACAAGGUGGGUGGUGCUAUCCGAAAUCACUGAAUUUCUCAUUAUGUCUAUGUCGCCUUUUUUUGAGCAUGUAUGUGUUGUAGCAUUCAUGCAUGAUAGGGUAGUGUGAUAUGUGAUUAUGAUUGGGAUUCAAUUGUAUGGUUCUAUGUAGGUGAACAUAUAAAUUGAUAAGGAACCAUGUAUGUUGGAACCCUAUACUUGUAUGAAUGAGAUGUUGGACUAUGACAAUAGUAAACAAAGGUGACAUUGACAUUAGCGGGCAUGAAUUGGCACCAAGGAAAUGAUUUGCUAGACGAGGUAUAAACCUUUGAGCAUUGUGGCAAGUGUGGCCAAGUAUAUGAUAUACUAGACAAGGUAACAUCCUUUUGAGCAUUGUGGCAAGUGUGGCCUUGGGCAUUGUGGCUUAUAGCAAGUUUGGCUAUGCGUCCUCAAAAUUGAGGGGGAUCAUACUCACAUAGGGUCUUGGCUUGAGGGCGGUAGCUCCCCCUCAAGCGGUGUGCUUCGGAGUUGUCACCACUGGGUGUAGCAGAAUUCUCCCCAGAAGACAGUCCCUCACGUUGUAGCAGCAGAGUCUCCCCGAUCGACAGGGAUUAUGGUUGUGAGUUAUUGGGGUUAACCAAGUGUUAACCGAGUUAAUUGGGUGAAAGCCAAGGUGAAUGAAAAGGGGUCUGCGGCCGAACCCACUGGAAACUUCUUUUAGUUCUCACACCACUAACCCUGCAGAUCCUAGUGCGAGCGGGGCAGACGAGGAUCGAGGCAAGGGUAUUGCGCCGUAGAUAGCGGCCACCGGAGUUUAGUCGUACCUGUGUAUACUCAACUUUUGUAUGUUGAACAAAUGAUGUAUAAAUGUAUAAAGAGAUGUAAUCCAUAUGUUUUGGUUGGAUGAAUCAUGUGAUGUAAGUACAUGUAUGAAAAGAAAGGAAAUGGAUAUAAUAGGUAUAGUUCACUUGUAUUUGGUUUACAUGUAAUCAAAUGACAUGUGUGGAUGAAUGGUUUAGUUUAGUACUUAUUGUUGUUGUUUGCCCUCGUGCAAACCGUGUAUACUUGCAUUCUUCUUGUAUUGAAUUGCUAUUGUUAUACAUUAGUUGGUCGAGCCUAGGGCGGACAGGGGAGGUGCUGUCCGUUCGGCGUCUAUUGACGUGCCCGAACCGACCAAAUUGGCGGUCGCGGAGCGUGACACUACUUACUUAGGACCUACUCUCCUAGAUUAAGAACGAAAGAGAGAGCGUUUGAGGAAUGUUGUGUAUUGAUAAAAGUUGACAGUACAGCUGAUUUCCUAAGGAGAGGGGGUAGAGGCCACAACCUUAUAGAGGCUACUCGUCACCUAGGCUACAAAUGAAAAGAUGCCAAGUGGCGCAUAAUGACAAGGCAAAGAGAAAGGCUACAAGGUCCCAGGAGACUACAAUUAUUGCCCACCUAGAAACUCUAAGGACUCUUGACCCUUCGGCAUCCGCACCAUUAGUCUUGAGAUCCGCGUAGAAGCUUCUAGAAUGCCCCAGCAAAACCUCUGACAGAAUGCUCCUUCGGAGAUUGGGCCACUGUCAAGGAGAAAGUAACAUCUAGUUCUUCUUAGAGAUGCUUAGUGAUUUACAAUUGUAGAUUGCAAUAGCAAUUCAUGAAUUAAAUGAAGACAAGCAUGUAAAAUUGUAUUAGCUCACAUAGGCACGCAAAUAUAAAUAAAUAUGUUAUUUAUUUGUUUAUUCAUGAAAAAAAAAGGAAUUACUAUUUGGAUAAAAUUUAAUAAAUGCUACACAAUUUCCAAAUUCAAGUCCAACUAGCAAUACGUUUAUCUCCUAACAAAAUAGAUCAGAAGAUAAAGACUUCAAUGUUCUCAAAUUGAAUAAGAUGAAAUCCAAUUGACCUAAAAAGUGAUUCUCGCCAUGACUUCUUCAAAUACAAAGCAUAUGACAGAUCAAGAUCCUUCAGAGUGGUACUUUCACAAAUGUUCUCCUUGUUUGUUGACCUUCCUUGAAGAGAUCCCUUCAAGUCAUACCUGUGGUGAAUGCGCAACUCAGUGCAGAACAUAUUUCCCAUCACCACAAAACGGACCUGCAUAGGGGAAGUGUAGAAUAGCAGACAGCAUCAAGUAUUUACAAAGUCAGAGGAACAUAUUGACAUAUAUUAAAAAGUUACCUUCUGUCCACGUCUUAUUGUUAUCCUAUGCAGACCAAAGAACUUUGUUAUAAGGGUGUUGUCAUGAGCUCCUACAUGAUUGUAAUACCGAGGAAGCAUUUUCAAAAGAAUCUGCAGCAAAAAGUUACAUAAUUGCAAGAAAUAAUGUCAUAUCCAAUGUUACUGCUGAACAAAAUAUUAAUAAUCAUUAGUUAUUAUGAGAUAUGCAGUAGGUGGAAAAUGUUCUUGAAGCUUGAGCGGUGGACCCAUCGUGUUACCUCAGACUAGAUUGAUGCUCACUUUGUACGUUGUACAUGACAUUCAUUUUCACUAUAUACAUGACUUGAUUUCAAUGUGGCGGUCUGACCUACUAAUUAUACAUUCAUUUUCACUAUAUACAUAUAUACAUGACUUGAUUUCACUAUACACUACUUUAAUCUUGGCAUUACAUUCACUAUCAUGCUUGCUAUAAUUGCUUAAUAUGUUACUAACUUACUACGAACGUUCACUCUAACAACUGGGCACUGUUGUGUUAAUUACAUUAUUCUCCACAAAAGAGUGUUUUAGUGAACAAUUUAAUAUAAGAAACUGCCCUAGACUAUGACCUGGGAGCAAAGAUUUAAGUGCCCAUCGGCACGGGCCAUAUCAAUUAUGCCAUAUCGUGCCAACAAGAUAUCGGCACCAUAUAGCCCCCCGUGCCAAUGGCACAUCUCAAAACCCCUUAUUCUUUAAAUUAACAAGUAAUUUUUUCAAUGAAGUUCAAAAGAUUUGAUAAAAAAAUAUAAUAAAUAGUUAGAAUAUUUUGUUGCUAAAGAAAAUAAAUAUUUCAUGCCAUUAUGUGUCGGCACACAUAUUUUUUGUGAUCGGCACGCAUUGGCACCGCCCAAAAAAGCACGGACGAUGUCGUACCGUGCCAACAAAUUUCCAACACAACCCUGUGCCACGGCACUUAAAUCCUUGCCUGGGAGUAGGGAUGUCAAUGAUUAUAGAUACUCGAACCCGAAUGGGGCUGGUUUACCCAAUGCUAAACCAAUAUUGUAUGGGUUAUGAAUAUAAAAAAUAAAAACCAAUCGGAUUCAAGUUUGGGUAGAUAUUGUCUGUACACGACCUGGUCCUAAACACUUGUUUAAACCUAAUUACAACAUUUGGUAUUCAUGUUCACACGCCUGUACACUUGUUUUAUCUCAAACUUAUGAAUUUGUUUCAUUUCUGUGUAAAACCUCUUUGUUCAUUUUCAAUCAUUUAGUUUUCUCUCUGAUGCACACGAUACUUUGCCUCACUUUACAAGUGAUGCAAACCGGGAGGUUGCCAAAAUUGAAUUUUCAAGUUUGCUUUUGUUUAAAGGUAUUUCUUGAAAUAAACUACAUUCAAUUUAUCGAUUCCGACAAACUUCCUAUAAUUAAAGCAAGGAAGCAAAAAUUUCAGCAAGACAAAUUAAAAUCGAAUUGAAGCAAUACAAAGAGGAUAAUAAACUUUCAAUAUAUGAGUUAAUAACAACCAACUGAUAAUACAUAUAAUAGUUCCAAAAGGUAAAUUCGGCUUUAUCGGACUUAAAAAGUUCUUACAUUUGGUUGUUUGGCAAAUAUGAUUGGUAAUGGUGGAGGGCUAGAUUGAAAGGGAUAAUAGAAUAUCAGGGGAUGAGAGAUACAAAAAGUGCAUCGUUCACACGAUUGCGGGGGAUCCACGAUCGACGAGGGCAGUACACCAUGGAUAGAACUUCGGCAACGGGGAAGAAGAAGAAGAGGCACGAAUCCGAAAGAAGAUGAGGGGUAGAAAUAAAAGCCGAUCUUGUCAUGAGGAAGAAGCGACAAAGAUCAAGUUAAAGAAGAAGACGAUCUCGGCGUGAGGAAGAAGUGUCAAUGAUCUCACAAGUAGAACAUCGAGGAUAAAGAAAAAGAGUAGAAACUUCUAUUCAUCAAAAUAUGUCCCUUAAGGCAUCAAGAACUAUGUAUUUAUAAUGUUGAGAGCCCUCCUAUGAUAAAUUAUUGUCCUUCUAUUUUCAACACAACACAGCCACCCAAGGAUCAUGCACAGAAGACGAAGCAAUUUUGGAAAUUCCAAAGGUCCUUUUGAAGAAUGCCAAAGGUCUUUUUGGAAUUGUUUCUUUGUUUAUUGGCUAAAUUACUGAAAACUCCCCCGUCAAAACGCGAUUUUUCACUUUCCCCCCCUGUCAUUUAAAAACCUACACUUUGCCUCCUUGUAAAAUAAAAAAUGUGCACUUUGCCCCCUACCGUUAGUGAUCCGUUAGGGUUCCGUUAUAAAAUAUUUUUUUAUACCAAAAAUACCUCUCCGCCUCCUUCCCUGUUGCUUCGCCGCCUCGCCUCCUCCACUGCUUUACCUUCACCCACGCCCACAUCCCCGUCCGCGCCCGCAAACAUCCCUUCGCCCUCCUCCGCCGCCUCGCCUUCGCCCUCGUUGCCGUUACCCACCUCUCCAUCCACCCCGACCUCGAUUUCCACCCUACUGUCGCCGAAAUCGAGGGGCGGCGAGGGUGCAAGAGAAAAGGGGAGCAAGUGGAUAAGAAAAUGGAGAGAAACUGCAGUUGAUUGAGGCGUAAACCGUGGCCGAUCGAGGCUGCUGUUGAGGAAGAUGAGGGAGGAGACGACAAUGGUGAGAGGGGCAAAAUGGUCAUUUUACCAUCACAAUACACACCGUACCCCUCCUGUGAACAUUUUUUAUUUUACAAGGGGGCAAAGUGUAGGUUUUUAAAUGACAGGAGGGGAAAGUGAAAAAUCGCGUUUUGACAGGAGGGUUUUAUGUAAUUUAGCCUUGUUUAUUGGAGAAAAGCGUUAGGGUUAGCCAAAUCAACUAAAACUAAAUGAUUUAAGUCCGAAUCAAACACGAACCUACAAAAUAAAAGAAAUUGCAUCAGAAAAUAAAAUGAGGUUUAUUUGUUGCAUCAAUUGUAAGGACUGAGAAUUUGACUGUACAGCUAUACUCUCUGUUGACAAUAUUUUUGUGUGUAUUUUAAUUACAAAAGCACCCGUCAAGUUUCGGGAGAAAACGAGCUAGAAUGGAGAUUUUACGCGAUCUUUACUUUUCACUUAAAGUGAAUACUAACUCGGGUUUCCGAAGAGGCCAAUGAGUAGAGAUGGCUUCUGGCGCGUAUCGGACUCCGUUCAUAGCAAUCCAAUAGCUCGUUUUCAAUGGUCCGACUCAAGGUAUUAGGUACCGCCUCGUGUCGUACGGCACGGGGCGUGCCGUACCUUGCCCCCAAGAAGGGGGCACAGUACAGGGGGGGUAUCGCACCCCCCCGAGUCUCGCGGCACGCCUUUGGGUGCCGCUCGAGACAAAGCGGCACGCUGGUGCGUGCCGCCCUUUUUUUUUUUGGCUUUUUGGUUUUUUUUUUUUUUUUUGUUCUCUAGGAUCCCCCCUCCCAAGGCCAUCUAUAUUGCAUUUUUUUUUCACUUUUCUUUUGUUUUUUUGACAUCGUGAUGUCUUUUUGUCAACUUUUUUUUUUGCUUUUUAUCUGAUGCCUUUUUUUUUCCUUUUUUUUUCUUUUAUUAAAUUAAAAUUUUAUAAUUUAACUUCUUAUUUAUCAAUAUAGAAACAAAUUUUUAGUUGACAUAUCAGAUCCAUACCAUAGGCUCGGGCCGACUUCCACCACAAACAUUCAUUUUUUCUUCACAAAAUAUUUUGUCAAAAUUUGUCGCACCGCGAAACUUUCUGUGAAUCAGGGGAACAAUAAUCGAUCUCCUAAACAAAUUUUGAUCAAAAUUUUUUUAAAAGAAUAAAAAAGAAAAAAAAAUGAAUAUAAUUGCGGUACUAUUCUGGUUGUUCUAGUCAUUAUAGACUUCCUAAUUGAAUCAAUAUAUAGAUCUUGAAAUGUUUUUAGAAAAAAUAAAAAUUUCUAUCAUUUUAUCUGUAAUAAUUUUUUAAUUCUAAAAAAAUAAAAACACAAGAAUUUUCAAAUGUUACAGUAUGUAUAGUUGUAUUUUUCAAAUAAAAACAAAAAUAUAAAAACAAAAGAAUUUUAACUUCUAUUCUACAUCAGGUAUAGUUGUACUUUAUAUUCAAAAUAAUUACAUGCAUGUUAAUUGAUGAGUAUAUUGUAAGCUAUACCUAGCAAAUAUUAAUAAUUAUGUCUAAAUCUUUCAAAAUAACAUAAUAAAAACUUAUUGGAAUAAAAAAAACUUAAAUAAGUCCUUGCCAAAGCGUGCCAGUAGGAGGUCAUGUGUAUCCAUCGGCACGCACGCGUACCACAUGUCGGCACGGAAGCGUGCCCGUGCCGUACCGUGCCAGGGAAAGAGCGGCACGCCCCCAUGCCACGGCACUUUAAACCUUGGUCAAACUAUUCUAAAGCCAUUGGCGCUAACGGAUUUCAAAUCUGAUGCACGGUUUUCGAGGAAACUGUAGAUACAUGUAUUCUAUGUAUUUGUGUGCGGAUUUUGCCUAUUGUUGAGAGGAUGAGUUUCGUCGCAAAUCGGUGAUCAAAUCUGACAAAACAAAAUUAUAGAUUCGAUGCCUCAGUCGUGCUGAACGCACUGGCGCGAUCCGAUCAAAAAUCCGACGGACGGAUCUCCAGGAAUCGCAUAAUAUUCGCUGAGGGCUCGAAAUUGGCAAAACAGAAAAUCUGUGAAAAGCCCAAUAUUUUAUGUACCAUUUUGAGUGAUUUCGAACGUCGAGCUGCGCACGCGCGAAACACGCACUGCAAGGGACUGGGCUGAAAAUAGUCAGUUUUGGAGGACUUUUCUGCAAUAUUACAUCAUAUACAUAUGUUGGUGCCCUAACCCUAGCGGACCAGCUACCUCAGCUGUGCCCCAACCGUCACCAGCCACCUCCCAGCCCCUCGCCGCUUGCACCCCGACCGCCGGCGAUCGUUUCCGACCGCCGGAAAGGCCGGCAUUGCCUUUCUCUCUACCUUGUCUCCACCAUAUCGGCCGUCGACCUCGAGGAAUCAACCACACACGCCGGGCCCUCUCCCUCGGCCGAGACCCGACAUCCGGCGUCGUCCCCGCCUGCCCGUGCGCGCCGUCCCCACCGGCCCCCGCCGUCCGCGCGCGCCGUGUGCGCCGCCUCGGCGAUCCACGGCCACCCGCAGGCAGCUCAAGCCGAGCUUGAGCCAGCUCGUCGGGGUUGGCCGUGCCGCGCCGCCCUCCUGGGCCUCCGGAAAAACCCCCGUCGCCGUCGCCACCGUCCCUGCAGGCCCCCGGACGCCGCAUGAACUCCCUGCGGCCACCCUGUGCAGGUUCAGGCCGAGCCAGGGCCAUCCUGGUCCCUGCGCGCCGCUAGCGCCCACCCUCGGCCUCCAGCGACUGGUCGCCGUCGCCCCGGCACUCCCCCCGCCGCCGCCCGGCCGUCGUUGCCCGAGCUGCGUGGGCUCGUACCGCUCCACCGGCCUCCUCCUACCGCCGGCCAGCGCGUGCUCGUACCCCCUCCGACCGGCCGCAACCGCCUCCUGUCGGCACGCCCGCCGUCUGACCGCCGCCGGCCAGCCCAUGCUCCUAUUGGUUCCGGUAAGUUUACUUGCAUGUUUCUGCGCACUAUUUCGGGUUCGGGUUGCUGUUCCGGCGAUCCGAUGGCACCCUGACGCUCUCGGAAGUGAGCAUGACGAUCCCUGAUCUGUGCCGAUCAUCGUGCUCACCUUCUUUGGGGUCAGCGAAGCCUCGGUUUGUGUGCUAAACACUGUUUAGGCACUGCGCGCUAUUUGCAGAAUUUCGCGUCGCUCCCGCGCUCUCCACAGUGCUCGGCCAUGCUCCGAAGCAUGAGCACAGUUUCCGGCACGUCGAGACCUAUCAGCGGGUGUCUCGAGCAGGGUCGAAAGUUCUCGGUUCGUGUUGUCGGGCAGUAAAACCCCAAAAAUUACAUAAAAUGAUGUGAUUUUAUAUAGUCGCGGGGGCUUAUAAGCAAAUUUACAUUUCGUGGUUGCUGUAGGCAGCGUGCGGGCUGCAGGUGACAUCUGGACUGGUUGUCCAAGGCCCCAGGCCUUUUCGAAAAUCGGAUGUCGAUUUUUCGUGUGCUUUUCAGCGAAAUCCGCCGACGGAACGCGAUUUCAGUUUGGAAUUCUUCCGACGGUGCCUCAUGGUAAAUUAUGUCGUCGCUGAGUCUUGUUGGCUGGUCACUCGCGUCAUUUCGAAGGUUCGGAAAUGACGGGUGAGCGACGAUGGGUUCCUGUGUCGAAAUUGACACUUCUGGGAACUCGGAUCGACGAUAAUCGUUUCGAUGUGGGGAGAUGUGUUUGCUGCCAGGUCACACAAAUUAUUGUGUUUAGUGGCAGCAGGUGACUCGUGGUACGAGUCAGUGAGUUCCGGGACAGUUCGUCAGUCCCGGCGAAGUCCCAGUGCGAUUUUUGGGACUUCCGGCGAGUUACAAUAAUCGAUUUUGGGAAACCAACUUCCAUGGGUUUACAGGUGGGGAUUGUGAAUUAGUGGUUCUCAUUAGUGGGUUGAAUUCUAACCCGAUGGACCCUUCGUAGAUCCGAUUGAUAUUCUUCCGCAGUCGGGAGACUAGUUCUAAGUACGUACAGGUGGGUAUUUCGACCGGAAGUCGGUACAGUGGUGCAUGCUCGGUGACAUCUUCUUCCUCCCUCUUUUCUUUUAUUACCCGGCAUAUAUAUGUUGAGCCUAGCACCCUUAUUAUCUAUUUAUCGCUCUACCUGGUUGUUUACAUAUCUAGCAUCAUGAGUAGAAGUAGAGAAGGUUUGUGAUUACAUGUGAGAUCUGUGACCAAGUCGGUCGAUUCUUGUAUCUCGUACUGUGACCUAUUCGGUCGGUUCACUGCAUCUGUUAUUGUGAUCUACUUGGUCGGUUGGACUACUUGGUGACCUACACGAUCAGUACACCCUAAGGGGUAGGGUUGUCGGCUAGUUGCUGAUGGUUGUUUAUUGAGCAUAUUAGCAUCGAUCGCCACUACUCGUACGCAUUUCACGAACACCAGCGGUCUGAUCCACCGCAAAGGGUGUUCUUUAACGAAAAAGUGGUUGAAAAUGCUAGUCCGUGAGCCCAAGAGCUUAUGCUGGGGUUAUAUGCUUUCAGACCCAAGAGCUUAUGUUGGGAUCAUAUACCUUUCCGACCCAAUAGCUUAUGCUGGGGUCAUAUACAGGUUAGAGCACUUCUGGCACAGGUCUGAGGUGUGCGAACCAACAUGGCAGGUUUCUGAUUGUGUUACUUUUGGACUUGUCGUCCGGUUGAUGCAUGCAUACAGUAGCAGUAGUGAUUCAUACAUAUAUAUCUCGUCUCUUGUUUAUCAUUGCUAUUGUAUUACCAUUAUCUAUACUUUUGUUUAUCCUCCUUGACUGGUGAGUACCUCUCGCCCUCGUGGGCUUGCGAUACCCACUGGGAGGGGAGACAUGUGUACAUGUUCUCACCUCCCCACCCCCCUUUCAGGUGACAUCGCUGGUUCGAGUCGGGACGGUAUGUGAGGUGCGCAUCUUAGCGAGCGAUAGAGCUAUCGGCCCGCCGUUUUGGUUAAACUCCUAAACCUAUCUGUUUAAAUAAUUGACUUAGUAUUUAUAGUUCAGUUGGUUUAACAUUAUUUGGAUAAAUGAGGUUUUGUGAAUGGAAUAAAGAACUUAUGGUUUUCGUUUGAGAUGAAAACGGCUUUCUACCCCUCGUGGUAACGUGUUUUAAAAGAAAAAGGUUUCUGUGUGAGAAACGGUUUUAAAAAAAAGUUUUUCUUGGUUUCAUGACUUAGUGUUUCAAAAUGAGUUUCAGAGUAGGAAACAUUUUUAAACUAAUAGUUGUGGAUUUACGGAUAUCUCUGAUGAAAUGAAUGUAAAUGUGAAUGGUGAAUGUAUGUGUAAGGAAUUGAAUUCUCGAUACGUGAAUCCGAAAUUCGAUCGAAAUUGAUCGAAGGCGAGUUCGGGACGCUUCGGAAAGGCCGAACGCGUCGAAAACGGCUUUUAGAGGGUUGUAGAGGACCUUGGAGAGUUGGUAGUGCAAAUCUACACUUUUGCAGAAAUUACCUCUCUCGGGGUCCGAACCAUAGCUUCUGGGUCCGGACCCGAUAGCCCGAUUUCGCCCAGUGCGGGCUGUGCAGAAAACUGAUAGUUAAGGGGGUUUCUUGCAAUUUUGCUAUGAGAGGAGUUAAAGGCUUUUAGAGGCUGAUCUCCUAUACACUGGAGUGAUGUUGGCGAACGUGCGGUAUUAGGCCCCGAUGUCUUGCGGGAGGCGGAAGAGAAGGUCCACCUUGCUCGCCAAAGAUUGGUUACGGCGAAAUCAAGACAAAAGAACUAUGCGAACAAGCGCCAUCGAGAUUUGGAGUUCGCGGUGGGAGACCGCGUCUUUUUGAAGGUUUCACCCAUGAGGGAUGUGAAGCGGUUUAGAGUGCGGGGAAAGUUGAGCCCCCGGUACAUUGGACCUUACGAGGUGUUAGAGUGGAUUGGUGCGGUAGCCUAUCGGCUUGCGUUGCCGCCCAAGCUCGCGGACGUUCACAACGUGUUUUACGUUUCCAACCUUCGCAAGUAUAUCCAUAAUCCCGAGCACGCUUUGUUGUAUGAGCUACCGAAACUUUAAGAAGAUAUGUCUUAUGAAGAGUUCCCGGUGUCAAUUAUUGCUCGGGAAGUGCGAAAGUUGAGAAACCGCGAUAUCCCCUACGUCAAGGUUCGGUGGAGCAAUCACGACAAUCGCGAAACCACGUGGGAACUCGAGGACAUGAUGAAAGCGCAUCAUCCUCAUCUCUUCGAGGAGUUGAGUUGAAGUAUGAGUUUAUGUUUAGGUUGAGUUAGUUUCGAGGACGAAACUCCUUUUAAGGAGGAAAGGAUGUAAGGAAUUAAAUUCUCGAUACGUGAAUCCGAAAUUCAAUUGAAAUUGAUGGAAGGCGAGUUCGGGACGCUUCGGAAAGGCCGAACGCGUCGAAAACAGCUUUUAGAGGGUUGUAGAGGACCUUGGAGAGUUGGCAGUGCAAAUCUGCACUUUUGCAGAAAUUACCAUUCUCGGGGUACGAACCCUAGCUUCAAGGUUCGGACCCCGUAGGCUGUGCAGAAAACUGAUAGUUAAGAGGGUUUCUUGCAAUUCUGCCAUGAGGGGAGUUAAAUGAGGGAUUGUCUCGCUCAUUUCUCUUAUUUACUCCCAAACCUAACCCUAAACACACUCCCUCUCUCUCUAAAGCUCUCUUUCUCUCUCUCUUCAAGGUGGGAUUCAAGAGGAGAGAUUGGUGGAGAAGCAAGCUUGGAAGUUGAUCUUCAUCUUCUUCAUCUUCUUCCUCACCAUUGGAGCAAGCUUUGGAGGUAAGCUUGAUGCCGUUUAAUGGUAGAUCUUUAGGACUUGAAUCUUUUGCUCUAAGAAUGGUUUUAGAUGAACCCUAGGAUGCUAAGAAAAAGGUUAUUGCUUGAAUCAUGGGGUCAUAUGAUGAUUUUUGCAAUAGUAGCAUAUUAGGGCUCCAAAUAGGGUUUUGUAAGAUAUAAGAGUUUGAUCUAAAUUGGACCUAUGUAAACCUAAUUGCUAGGUAUUCUAACGCGCUGGUGAAGUCGGUUCGGCGAUUCGUCGAGCCUACGCGAAGAUAUUGGGAAAAAGGACCAUUUGAGCUUCGUUUUCGCCUGGAAGGCCAAGGCAACGUCCAAAAAUCACGAAACCGGAUUCCUAGCAUCGUGACGUCAUUUAGAGGUAGGGGGUGUCACCCGAAGCAACUGAGCUCCCUUCUGUGUCUAAGAUUGCAUUGUGACCUUGCAUUUCUCAUAUUGUAAAGCAUAGUAGGAUUGUAGUUUGUUGCAUUUCCAUUCCUUAUAUGAUUUCCUAGUCGAUAUCGUAUUGUGGGACGAACACAUGACAUAGUGGAUAUGUAAGGAAAUGGGACUUGACAUUGAAAUCCUAUGAUGCUAAAACAGGUAGAGAACUUGAUAUGUGUAGUGGCAUAACGAGUGGCAUUUAAAUAAUGUUUGAUGACAUAGAUAUUAAGUGGCAUGAUGAAUAUAGUGUAGAUGAAACACUUGAACAUUAGGGAUAGAGGAAUUUCCCAAGUAAUGAUAUGUUGCAUGUGAACUUAGUGUAGUGGGAACACUUAAACACGAACAUUAGGGAUAGUCGAGUUCCCGCAUUGUUGAUUAGCCCUAGAUGGUAGGGUAUCCUCAGUUGGCGAGGAUUGGAUCAUACUCAUAUAGUCUAUUUUCGCUAGGCGUGGUCGCUCCACCCAAAUAGUGAGCUCCGGAGUCAUCACGUGAUGAACUAACGUACAUGUCCAGCAGACGGUCUCGGGUUUGCGAGCAGGAGGGUCACCUUACCUAUGGGAUUGCACUGUGAGUCAUGGGCAAACCUUCGGGUUAGCCAAGUGAUUGGGUGAACAUAUGAAUGACAAGUUUAUUGAACAUAGUAGCAUGAUAGUUGACAUCAUUACUAUAUAGUUCUUGCAUGCAUUCAUAAUGAUUGAGGCAUAGUAGUUCAUUUGUGGAUUUCGUUAUUAUAUAGCAGUUGAUUGCAAAUUUAUCUAUCUACUUAUGCCUGCUUAGACCUAGUGGGCAGAUCGGCGGAGUCGGUGGCCGAACCCACUGGGAACUAUUCGUAGUUCUCACCCCACUUUGUUGCAGGGCCGAGUUCGAGUACACCGGGCGAGGAUCGCGGUAAGGGCAUAGCGCCCUAGUAGCUAGCAGCUUCCAUUUUGCAUUAGAGUACCCUCGUGUACACGGUUGACAUGUGAUGUAGAUGUAUUUUGGGAGUUACUUAGGUAUCUAGAUGAUGAACUUGUAAAUCUUAUGUAUACAUUUUGGGAGAUGGAAAUGAAAACUGAUGUAAAUGGUUGAAUGAAAUAUAAUAGUUAGUACACUCUCUCUCUUUUGCUCUCUUGUAUGCUUGUUUAGCUACUUGCUUGGAUCAUGUACAUUGUUUAAGUUUUCUGGGCAACUUAUUGUACUUGAUUGUCAUUGUUAGCCUUGGGCGGACAGGGGAGGUGCUGUCCGUCCGGCGUCUGUUCGACGUGCCCGAACCGACCAAAUUGUCGGUUGCGGGGUGUGACAGUAUGUGUAUGCUUAUACGGUUGUGGUUGUAUAUUGUACUUGUGCGACGCCGUGCAAAUAGAGAGGAGACUCUGUCCGUGUGAACAGUGAACAUCCUGUAUUUGUGGCUGAUCUGACAUACUUUGGGGUCAAGGUUUUCAAAAAAAAAAAAAAUUGGGCACGGGCAUUUCCGCAUUGGCUUUUAAACCCAAUAGGGAGCCCGGGGCGUAACAUCUCGAUUCCGUCGAGAUGUCAUCAUGAUAGCUCUGGUAUAAGUUCUCUCGAAGUUGGCGCGACUCCGCCUCAGAAAUCCAACUACUAUCGGGCAAUGGUCAUCCACGCCAACACACCAAGUAUCAGCGAUGAGUACUACCUCGCGUCGCAGACUCGCGCACAUCCAGAAUAUCCUCCACGCUAUCUGAUGGAGUUUCAAUGUCGGAGCGAGAUGUCAAGCCGUCAAUAUCAACAGUAGAUAGGGUUUCUCCAGUCCAUAGUACUCGUACUGUCGUACAGCUCGCUGACACUGAAGAUCGGGAAGGUCAGUACUUCCUAGGGUCGAUCAAUUAGAUAAUCGUUUUUCCCCAAUUUUUUCAGAAUUUUGAAUGGCUCAUACUUUUUCCUGUUCAACUUGCUAUAGCCUCCAGCUGGGGAACCUUUCUUUCCUAAAAUAGAUUAAGACAUUAUCUCCUUCAUUAAAAGUCAUACCUCAGCGAUGUUUAUCAGCUGACUUCUUAUACUUGACAGUGGAAUCCCGCAACAUCCAAUGAACCUGUUGUUGCACCUCUUGAAUCUGUUUUAGGUAAUAGUCGGCAUCUGCACUAACUCUACCAGGGUAAGGUAUUGGUGCUCGGUCAAGAACGUGGGCUAUAGCUGGCCAUAUAAAGCUUCAAAAGGAGAUUUUCCAAUGCUUCGGUUUAUGGAAUUGUUAUCCGCAAAUUUAGCUUGAGGUAAAAUUAAAUCUCACUAUGUUGGCUUUUCUCAAGCUAAACAUCUUAAGAGAUUACCCGAAGAUUGAUUAACUAUUUCCGUCUGCCCGUUAGUUUGUGGAUGGUAUGGGCUACUGAAAUUCAAUUUGCUUAUUGCUUUUGACAUUAAAGUCCUCCAAAAAUGACUAACAAAUUUUGUAUCUCAAUUAGAGGUAAUUGAUUUAGGAAUGCCAUGUAAACGUACAAUUUCAUUAAAAAAUAAUUUUUGCAAUAUGUGAUGCAUCAGAAGUUUUCUCACAAGGAAUAAAAUAAGCCAUUUUCGUAAAACGAUCAACCACAAAAACUAAAUCAACUUGGCGUGCAGUCUUGGGUAGGCCUAGGACAAAGUCCAUGGUAAUAUCCUCCUAGGGCAUAGUGGGAAUGUGCAGGGGAGUAUACAAGCCAGUAUUUUGAGUUUGUCUUUUAAAUGAUUGACAAGUUUUACACCGCUGAACAAACCUUACAAAGUCCUUACUUAUUUUAGGCCAAUAAUACCGCUCUUGAACUAAUCCCAAAGUCUUGUCUCUCCCGAAAUGUCCCCCUAGCCCACUACUAUGCAGAUUCUGAAUCAAGGACUCUCUUAACGAUCCUCAGGGAAUGCACAACUUGGACUUUCUAAAAAGAUACCCGUCGUCCAAACAGUAAUCAAAAGAUGAAUCAUUGUCAGAAGAUAGGCACUUUUCUAGGAUAGUACUGAAUUUAGGGUCAUUUUGAUAUUGGUCCUUAACUACCUCAAAUUCUACCAUCUGUAAGAAGUGAUAAGCAAAUGGUUUCAACGGUUGAGUGGAUCAGCGACUCGAUUAGCAAUGCCUUGUUUAUGCCGCAAAUGAAAAGUGUAUUCUUGCAGGAAUGCAGUCCACUUGGCAUGUCUUUUGUUCAAGUUCUUAUGAGAAUUUAAAUAUCGCAAUGCUUCAUGAUCCGAAUUAAAAAUAAACUCUCGAUGAAUAAGUAGGGCCGCCAAUGUUUCAAAGCCUGCACAAUCGCGUAAAAUUCAAGAUCAUAAGUGGAGUAACGCGCUCGUGCAUCGUUCAAUUUUUCAUUAAAGAAGGCUAUAGGACGUUCCUCUUGAGACAGUACACCUCCAAUUCCGAUGUGUGAAGCAUCACAAUCAAUCUCAAACACUUUUUCUAUAGUGUACUGGAUUUUAAUAUGAAAGUAAGUGUAAAUAAAAAUGGUGGGAGGUACUAUUUUUAUUGGACUUAGAAAAAUAAAGUAUAAGUCGGAAAUGACUUGUGCUGAAAUUGAAAUGAAAACAGAAAAUUUAGAAUUUUCUGUAAAAAACGGAGCUUAUUUUUUAGCAAAAAAUUCACAGUGCCAGAAAAUUAUGAAAAUUUGAGAAUAUGUCGGAAUUAUUUUUCUGAGGCUAGAUUUAAAGUUUCAUAUCAUUCCGACACCCAGAAAGUGGAAACGGAACAUAAUAGCAAUUUGAUAGAGAUUUUAUUUGGUAGACUUUUCGGUGACCAAAAAUGGUUCGAAACUGAAAAAUUAAAAUAACGUUAUUCUGAUUGAUUUUAACAGAGCCUGACUGUCAAAUUUGAAUGCAAAUGGACAUUCAGAAGGGCUCCGACGAAAAGUAUCAGAUUUAAACUGAGCUGGAGAUGUAAUUUCUAAUAAGUGCAGGGGGUUCCUGCGAAUUUGGCUAGCCUUCUUCUUCUUCUUCUCCAACUUGAAGAUUUUGGUGGAGAUUGAGCUCGGGAUGCUUGGAGGAAUGGAGUGGAGAAUCGAGCUCUCGGGCACUUGGUGAAUCAGAGCGCUUUCGACUUGAGGUUCGUUUUUGGGUUAAGAGAUUAAGGAUUUGGAUUUUAAUUUGGAAAGUAGAUUUUGGUGAACCCUAGGCUAGUCUAAGCUCCGAAUUGGUAGAGAUUAGUAUGAGAUUGGAGGAUUUUCUUGAAUUGUGAGAAUCUAGGGUUUAGAAAGGAGCUUUUGCAAUUAUAGGAUUUUGAUCUAAAUUGAUCCUGUAAUCCUUUAAUUAAAGGUUAUGGAUGGAUGCCUAGUAGCUUCGAUUCAAAUAAUAACAAUAUUUCGGCGAUCAAUUGGAGGAAACGAGCCGAUUCAUGAAGAUUUGGGUUUGUUGGGCUUAAAGCGCGGCAAAUCGUCAUUGGGAGCCUAAUUGCAAGUGUCUACAAGCAAUUAGGAAGCGUGUGAGGUGCGUUGUGCUUCACCGAAGUGAUUAGAUCACUUCCACGUCGAAAAAGUAAAGUUUAAUAUUGUUUUACUUGAUGCAUGUAUUAGUAGUUUAAUUGGUAAUUGUGCAUUUAUAGAGCAUGUGAUUCUAAAUGAGGAACUACUAUUGUACAAGAUUUAAUUAUGUGCAUAGACCAAGAUAUACAUAAUUGUAAUUAUGCAUGUUAGGGUUCAAGUUAUGUAUUGUUAUUAUUAUUUGCAUGUUUCCUAAAUUAGAAGUAGACAACUAUUGUUGAGAACUCUAAAACUCAGGAUGCACGAAUAUAGUGCCAUGUGAACCCUAGAGAUGCAAUGAACUAGUAGAGUAAACUAGUUGUAUGGACAUAGGUUGAAAAACAUAGUGGUAGGAUGACCACUUGGAUUGGAAUGUCAUUGAACCUAUAGUCGAGUGAACCUAUGUGGGAAAGACAUAGGACCUAGUGUUGUUAAACCUAGGUAUGAAAAUAUAGUGGUAGGAUGACCACUUAGACAAGAGAACAUAAACCUAGAGAGGUUGACAAUUUAGGGUAAAUGAUGAACCCUUGAGACUUGGAAUGGAAAAUGAUGUGCACAUCUAAUGAGUUUGGUAUGUGAGUCAUCGUUCGGCGUGUGCAGCGAUUUCGCCGCCAGAUGGAUUUUGGUGCGACGAUUUCGCCGCGGAAGGCUGGAUACCCGAGGUGUGUGCGACGAUUUCACUGCCUAGGGACUUGAGCCAUUGUUCGACGUAUGAGACGAUUUCGCCACCAGAUGGCUAAGUCAAGUAAAGGAUUACACCACCCGGCGACUUAAGCCAUUGUUCGGCGUGUGCGACGAUUUCACUAUCAUAUGGCUAAGUCAAGUAAAUGCGGUAAGCUGUGGAUGAUUGAGUUAAGACCGAGUCGGGUGAUAUAGCUUGGCUAAGGUAAGAGAACCUUAGGAACGGAUUGGAACUGAGAUAGAUAGUGAAAUAGAAAAGUAGAAAAGGAAUACCUUUUUGCAUGGAUUUCAUUAUUGCAUUUAGUUGAGGCAUAAGCAUGUUUUAUUACUUGCAUAUAGUUGAGUUAUAUGUUUAUAUACUGGACUAACUUAUGUUGCCUCCUUUGGACCUGGUGGGUCGAGUUCUUUCCUUGGGUGGCCGUACCCACUGGGAACGAUGUUUAUUGUUCUCACCCCCAUGUUUUUUGGGUCCUCAUGUGAGCGGUGCGGCGACGCAGGGAAAGGUCGUAGCUCAGUAGAUAGUGCCCUACCACUUGUGACCAGAGAUAGAUGUACCCUCGGUCAGCAUAGCGUAGGGUAUGGAAAGAAAAGAAAGAAACAAAAUUGUAAUAAAGUUGAUUGCAUUUGGAAAAAUGUAAAUGUAAUGUAAAGUGAAUGCUUGUAAUAGCGUAGUUGUUUAUGUUUUUGAUACCUCUUUAUGCAAUCUAUGUAUGCAUUCUGUUCUUGGUCGGAACAUCGUGAAUUGUACUGAUUGUGACAACUUGGACGUACAAGAAAAACUCUGUCCGUUCGGCGAUCUGUGUGAGUGCCCGAACCGACCAAAGAGGCGGUCUCGAGGCGUCACAUUUUCAACGUCAGGCAAGGCAAGUACUGGAGCCUUUGCAAGUUUGUCCUUAACCAAUUGAAAACUUAUUUCAGCUUCAAAUGUCCAAGUAAAUUUACCCCCUUUUAGGCAAUCAGUUAUUGGCGCAAUUAAUGAACUGAAAUUUCGAAUGAAACGCCGAUAAAACGACGCAAGUCCAUGGAAACUUCGGAUUUCAGUUAUGGUCUUUGGGGUUGGCUAACUUUGAAUUGCUUCUAUCUUAACAGGAUCAACUUUAAUUCCCUCGAUGGACACGACAUAGCCUAAGAAGGUAAGGCUAUCGGUCAGGAAUGUACACUUCUUAAGAUUCAGGGAUAAGCUGUUAUCUCUUAAAGUUUGAAGCAAUUGUCUUAAAUCAUCUACAUGAGUUUCAAUACUUGUGUUAUGAAUCAGAAUGUCGUUGAAGUAAACUACAACAAAUUUUCCAAUGAAUGGUCGUAAGACUUGGUUCACAGAGCGCAUUAAAGUAUUAGGGGCAUUGGAUAACCCAAACAGCAUAACCAGCCACUUGUAUAAUCCUUCUUUGGUUUUAAAUGCUAUUUUCCAUUCAUCUCCAGGUCGAAUAUGAUAUCCGCUCUUAAGGUCAAUCUUAGGCUACAUUUGGUUGGAGGGAUAUCCCAAAACAAGGUGGGAUAUCCCCCCAUCAAUACCCAAACAGAAAAAAAAAGAGAGGGGGAUUUGUUGUUCCGGGCUUAAUAGGUUGUUCUAAGAAAUAAUUCCAAGAACAACCCGUUAAGCCUGUUCUCCCCAGAUGAGAGAAUUAGGGGGAACAACUUGGGGGCUAUGUUUGUUUACCAUUUUGCCCUUUAACCCUUCAGGAUGUGUUUAGGAAUUUUUUUGGAAAUUUUUUUAAUUUAUAAGAGCCACACUAUUUUGACUUAUUAAUAUUUAAUUUAGUAAAUUAAAAGAAAUAGAUUGAAUGAUUAAUUUAAUUUAAUAAGUGCUAUUCCAUUUUAGAUAUUUAUAUUUUAAAUUAGUUUUGAAAAAAAUAAAAAAAUAUUUAAAUUGAAUAGUACUAAAUUAAUAUUUUCAAAUUAAUAUACAAAUAUACUUAGUUUGUAAAUUAAUUUAUUUUAAUACUUAAUUUAUUAAAUCAUAUUUGAUUAUUAUAUUCAAGGGCAAAUUUGUCAUUUUAUUUAAUUUUUAUCUUUCCAACACCUUAUUUCAACAUAAACAUCCAAACACUAUCAAGAAUAUUCUCUAGGAACAAACAAACAACAUCCAAACGUAAUUUACAAUUUGUUCUAGCUUAUACCGGAAUAUCCCCUGUUCUCGGGAACAACAAAAGUUGUUCUCCAAAUUUAGUUCUUUAGCCAAACGCAGCCUUAGAGAAUAUCUUCAGACCUCAUAACAUGUCAAGCAUAUCAUCAAUCCUAGGAAUAGGAAACCGAUACUUGAUGGUAAUUUUGUUAACUGCUCGACUGUCAACACAUUCGCCACGUUCCGUCCUUUUUGGUGUAAGGAGGGCAGGCAUCGCGACAAGGCUCAUACUUUCUUUAAUGUAACCUUUUUGCAGAAGUUUAAAAACCUGCCUGUGUAACUCUUCAUGUUUUGUGGGACUCAUCCUGUAAUAGGCUAAGUGUAGAAGACUAGCACAAAGUACAAAAUCAAUGCAGUGUUGGAUGUCUCUUAUAGAUGGAAGGCCAUCAUGGAGUUCCUCAGGCAUGACAUCAGAAAAUUCAUUCAACAAUGGUUGAACAGCUUGAGAAACUCUAGUGUUCUUCAAUAUUUCUUUUGCCAAAAGAAUAUAUACCACUGGAGACUUUGCUAGAUCUUUCGAGAAUUGGUUUUUGUUCAAAACCAUAAUUUUCUAUUCAUUAUUGGAGGGUUGCUUUUGGGACUCACUCGAUUUAGACUUUAGUUCGGGUAAGUAAUUUAUGGGAACCAAUCUAACUUUCUUAAUUGUCUUUUGUGACAAUGUAAGUGUUCUCCCUACCAUCAUGUAUAGUACUACGAUCAAACUGGCAAGGUCUACCCCACAAUAAGUGACUCACAUCCAUAGGAAUAACAUCACACCAGAGUACCAGACUUUAUAUGUUAUUCCAACUGAAAAUUCAACAAAACAUCUUUCGGUUAUAGGAAACUCAUCCUUAUCCUUAAACCAAGCUAUUUUGUAAGGUUGAACAAGUUUUUCAGUUUUCGGUUUAAGUUUAUCAACCAUUUCUCUAGAAACAAAGUUUUCAGUACUUUCACUAUCAAUGACCAAAGAGCAAAACUUGCCUCCCACGCUACAGAUGGUUCUGAAAAGGCUACGACGCUUCUAAUCAUCUUGGGUAGACUUAGAGGCUGAUAGGACUCGAUGGAUCAUACUAUUUAGUCUGAAAAGGCUACGACGCUUCUAAUUGGUUUCGAUUAGAUUUAUGUAAGAAAUCUGAACCCUAUGUAAUUUAACCCGAUUUUAUUUAUUCUAGUAAAUAUAAUACAAAAACAACCAUACUAUUUAGUCUAAUUUAAUCUAAUCUACUAUAUUGUAGUAUAUUUAUAUCCUCCGCCUCUUAUGUGACAAAAGGGUCAUCGUAACGCCAAAUGGUCUCCAAAGCUAAAUGCUAGACCUACAUUUCCUUGAUGGUGAAAUGAGUAAGUUGGGUACCAUUUUUCAACUGAAGCAAAUGUAUACUUUGUUAACAUAACUACUGCUUUCUAAUAGAAAUGUUUCUCUGUAUUGUUCAUCUAUGUAGUAACUGUUACAUCCUCAGGCUGCAGUCAACAUCUUUCAAAAAACGUUUCUAACUGUCAAUGUGCUUGAUGUAAAUGUUGAAGAAGUAUAUCCCUGUUUUCAAUUUGCCAAGUCAUUACGAUAAUCAUGGUACUAAUCAUGUAUAGGGUUCACUAAACAAGUUCCAUGAGAAAUAUACUUUAAAUAAGAGAGUAAGAAAAGUAUAUCAACCAACAUCCUAGUUCUAGGGUAAAAUAAUUAUCUUCAUCUUUUUUAGACGCUUAGAUUGCCAAUUCUCCUACAUUUUACGGAGAUGAUUUAAACAAGAAUAAUUUAAUCUUCAUUUUAACAAUUUAUAUCUUAGCAUGCACGUGCAAUUCAUAGAUGACAUGAAAUUUUUAUUUUCUUUUGCACCAAUAUAUUCUAAUUGUUUAUUACAUAACUAAUGCCAAAUCUUUCACACUUUAUUGAAGUAACUACAUACUAAUUUCCAAAAAAAAAAAAAAAGCCGUUUGAGUCAUGCCAUCAACAUGGAGGUCGUAUCAUGCCAAUACCUUGUCGACAUGGUACGGCUUGAUGGACAGAGUCUGUGCCAAUGGACACUUAAAUCCUUAGUGGAUACUCUUUCUACCAAAUCAAUACCAUGUUGGCAAAGCAAUAUAGUGCGGCACUCAAAACACAAUGAACCAUUUCCUGUGUUCACAUGUACGUAGGGAAAGGGAUUUCUAGUUUUCUACACAUAAAGAGAUUUUGAAGGCGGGCCAAGGAUUUAUAUGGACAUUGAGCAUUUCUCAACACAAUCAAUUAUCACCAUGUUUUUAACAUCGUGAGUGAUUCACCAUUUUCAGCAGAUAUUCAAUACCUCCCUUUCAGUGCCAACAUAGUUUGGAUGUGGUAAAAGACUAAAAGCGAGUUCCACAAGCAGUUUUUAUGUGGGAUUAUUUUAUGAAAGAACAAUAAACUACAUACGAGCACCAUAUAUCUGACUUGAUAUGGUAUCUUUUAAGUUAUAACUAAAUAAUAGAAGAGAAAAUUGACUACUUAAGUACAAAAAUAGAAAUACAUGGUGAAAUUCAAUUGUGCAUAAAACAAAUAUUAUUGCUAAAAUCAAGUGCUAAAUUCAUUUAAAAACCAUAAAUCAACUUACUGAAAACAAAGAAUCUAGGAUAGAAGGUAAACCUUGAGUUCAUAUUUUCUCAAUGUCUUAAUGACAAAUCUUUCAUCCUGUGAAAGAUAGAAUAUGCUCCCACUUUUCCCUGGAGAAGAAAGCUCCUUUAAACCAUCACCCCCACAUAUGGACAUCAUGUAAUCUGCAGCAUCAAUCUUAAACAUUUCCCGAAGGUUCCUGAAAAUAUAGUUUGAUAGAAAGAUCAAUUAGAUGAAGAUAUUGUCAAAUGUCACUUGAUCCAGAAACUUGUAGUGAAGAGUUGGGUGCCAUCGCAGUAUAUCAAGUUACUUCUACCGUCCAACAGGUAGAGAUCAGCUGUAUAAGCAGAGUAGAAAUCCCUUGCAAUAGUUGUAGAAUCUUAUUGCAAUUGUCCAUUUUCAGAAAGCUGGCAUAUCAUUGAUCAAUAGAUGAAAAAUAGCAUAAAAUGUAUGGAUAGACCAUGUACUAUCCUGCUAUUGCAAUUUAGUCCUUGGAACUUUUUAUUCAGACACUUCAGCACUGCACUUUCUCAUAUACUCCUGGCCAUUAAUGCCUUUGUGCUAUGAAACGACCUUUUAUGGGUACACAGAAACCAAAGAAGUCAUUUUAUAAAAGGAGAAUUCAUUGGAAAAAAGAAAAAGCUAAAUUACAUAAAACCCUCCCGUCAAAACCCAAUUUUUUACUUUCCCCCCCUGUCAUUUAAAGACCUACACUUUGCCCCCUUAUAAAAUAAAAAACGUUCACUGGGGGGUACAGUGUGAAAUGUGAUGACAAAAUGACCAUUUUAACCCUCACUAUUUUCGUCUCCUCCUCAUCUUGCUCAUUCACUGCCUUGAUCGGCCGCGAUUCCUCUCCAUUUUUUUUUCCACCUACUCCCCUUCCCCUCCUGCACUCUCGUCACCUCUCCAUUUUGGCGACAGUAGGGAGGAAAUCGAGAUGAGCGUGGAUGGAAAGGUGGGCAAAGGCAACGAAGGCGAAGGUGAGGCGGCGGAGGAGGGCGAGAGGGUGUUUAUGGGCGCAGACGGAGACGUGGGCGAGGGAGAGGCAGUGAAGAAGGGCGAGGUGGCGAGGCGGAUGACGACAAAGCACAGUAGAGGGCGGAGGGUAUUUUUGGCAUAAAAAAUAUUUUAUAACGGAGCCCUAACAGAUCACUAACGGUAGGAGGUGAAGUGAACAUUUUUCAUUUUACAAGGAGGCAAAGUGUAGGUUUUUAAAUAAUAGGGAGGGAAAGUGAAAAAUGGGGUUUUGACAGGGAGGUUUUCUGUAAUUUAGCCAAAAGAAAAUGAUAUUUUUAAUGUUUAUAGAUGAAUUAGAAUAUUUUAAAACACUCAGCGAAUAGUGUUUAAAUACAGGAACUAAGUCGCAAUAUUGGGAUAGUAUAGGAACUAUCUAAACAUUUUAUGCCAACGAAUAUAACAUAUUAAAACAUACCUAAAGACCAUAGGGCAGUAGUCCUUCCAAAAGAAACUGAUAGAGUUAUGUGAAGGUGUAUAUUGCGAACCAUCCUUAGGGAAAUACAUUCUUAUUCUUGCUCGAGGACCAAAAUCAGAAGAACGAACCUCGCGCACAGGGACAGGUGUAAUUUUUCCAACUGUAUACCUGAACAAUCACAUCAAUUACAUAGUUACUCUAAUCAUGUAAUUGCACAAAGCUAAUAGCACAACAUAAUAUUUACAUUCAUACAGAGACCAUUGAGCAGGAAAUAUAACUACACUAUGAAAACUCAAUAACUAACAGAUAUGUUCAUCAUUGAGAUUCUCAUCAUCUAAAGGGUUGUUUGAUUGGUAGCAUUUCAAUGUACAUUGCGAGUGCAACUACAAACAAGAACAAAAGAUUUGUUUGUUUUCUUGUAGUUGCGACUGCAAAUUGUAAAACGGACCUACAAACAUCCAACUACAGCAUUUCGACCAAUACCCAAUCAGAUAUAGUUGAAAACGUAGAAAUCGGAGAGAGAAAUUUUACAAUCCAAACAAGAGUAAUCUUACAUUACCACUCACCUGUUAAAUAACCAAAAAAACAAAGACCAAUUUCUAUCAUUAGAUAGUAAUCUCACCAUCUCACAUAAAAUAACCAAAUUUAUAAAUGCAGCUUUGAAUUACAGGUAACCAAUCAAAGAAAAUAUGUAGAUGCAUAACUCUCAACCACAUACCGCCAAAGGGCCUAGAUGCAAAUAUAACUACUGCAUCUCCAACUACAUGCAUCAAUAAUUACACUGUAUCCAAAAUAUCAAGCCAUAUUUCAACUCAGAGUAAGACUACAAUUAAGGCUUGUAUAUAAAAACACAAAACAGUCAAACUAUAACUUCAGAAUUUUUAUUUCUCCUUUUUCUUCUGAAGAACCUAGUAAACACAUGCCAAGAAUAGAAGAGCAUAAGUAAUCCCACUGAACCAGUCCUUGCCAUAAAUAAUUAUUUAUAGCAAAAUUUCCAUUAACUUAAUGCAAUUUAGUUACUCAUUCAGAUUUUUAUUUCAUUAACCAAAAUCUGAAUUAGGGGGGAAAAAACAUGAGGAUUCAACCAAGAUACUGUGGCAUAGGGUCGUGCCGGAAACUUGCCGGCACGGUACGGUACAAUGCGUGCCGGGUCGUGCCGAUGCGUGCCGAUCAUAAAAAAUUCAUGUGUGCCAACACAUAAUAGCAUGAAAUAUUUAUUUUCAUUAGCAACAAAAUAUUCUAAUUGUUCAUUAUGUAUUUUUUAUCAAAUCUUUUGAACUUUAUUGAGAAAAUUACUUACUAAUUUAAAGAAUAGAAAGUAUUGAGCUAUGUCGUUGGCAUGGGACUGUCUCAUGCCGAUAUCUUAUUGGCAUGAUAUGGUACGAUAGAUAGGGCCCAUGCCGAUUGGCACUUAAAUCCUUGGAUUCAACCUUAACCUGUCAAAUUUUGACUAACCAAAACCUGAAUUGAAAACCAGCCCUUACGGUUUUAUUUGAAGAAAAGAAAAGCCCUACAUCCUAAUCAUAAUAAGAUUUAAUCCAUGCAAACCCAAUACUUGCACACUCAAAUCAACUAGAAUAAAGGGUAUUUGGCCCUACUUCUGAAAAGUGAUUCUGAGCCCUUUUGGGCUCAGUAGAGUGUUUGGUAACAAGUGCUCAAAAAUCUGAUUCUGCUUUUUACAAUCAGAAAAAUGAUUUUGAAGGCCCCAAAAUUAGAAACAAAAAAAAAAUGCUUCUUAAAAUCUUAUUCUGAUUUUGUACUCAAUUCAAUUUUUAUUUUAAUUUUAUAUUCAAACUUUGAAUUUAAAUUUAAUUCUAAUUUUUAAAUUUUAAAUUCAUAUUUGAAUUUUUAAAUUUCAACUUUUGUAUAAUUUCAGUUUUAAGUUUUAAAUCUCAAAUCUCAAAUUUUAAAUAUCAAAUAUCAAAUCUCAAAUCUCAAAUUUUAAAUUUCAAAAAUUUCAAAUUUCAAAUUUCAAAUUUAAGAUAAAAUUUAAAAUUUGACAUUUUAGAUUUUAAAAUUUAAAUAUAAAAAUUUAAAAUUUUAAAAUUUAAAAUUACAAGUUUUAAUAUUCAAGUUAUAAAUUUCAAAUUUCAAAAUUAAAAUUUUAAAUUUUUAAAAUUCAAAUUCUAAAUUUUUAAAAUUCAAAUUUUAACAUUCAAAUUUGAAAAUUUAUAUUUAAAAUUUAAAUUUUAAAAUUUGAUUUUUUUUUAAAUUUGAUUUAAAAAGUCAAAUUUUAAAUUUUAAAUUUUCCAAUUUUAAAUUUAUUUUUUAAAUUAAAAUAUCAAAUUUUAAAUUAAUUUACAAAUUUUAAAUUUUAAUUUUAAUUUUAAAUUAUUUAAAAUAAAAUUUAGUUAAAAUAUUAAUAUAUGUAAACAACAAAAAAAUUUUGCCAAACAGCUUUACAAAAUCACUUCAGAAAAAUCACUUUUAUCUAAACUCAGCCAAACGCUUUACAGCUCUUAACCAAAAUCAAUUCUCCAAACCAAAAUCAAUUCUGCAGAAAUCACUUUUCAAGAAUCUAGGCUCAACGGGCCCUAAAAUCAUAAUAGGACUCAAAUCCAUCAAUAGCCCAAAGACUCAAUUAAUUACUAGUAAAGACACCGGCACAUUGCAGUGGUUCAUUUCCAUACAAAUAAAUAAAGCUAAAAAAAUAAGAAACAAAAAAAAGAGUCAAAGAACAAAAAAGAAUACAAAUAAAAAAAAAAAAUUGAAGAAGAAGUAGCAGCAGUUGUAGUAAAGUAUAAGAAUAAAAAUAUAAUGAGGAUAAAAAAAAUAAGAGAAAAUUUAUAAGAAUAAUAAAUUAUAUUUAUAACAGCAGUGAAAGUUGAGGAUUUAAAAUGUCAUAUCCCUCGUAGUUCAAGCCAAAAAUUGCAACUAAUUAAAGUAUGAGCUCUAAAUUGUCAUGUGCCUCAUAGUUUAAGCUAAGAAAAUAUAAUCCAUUAAAAUUCGAGGACUAAAGUGUUACGCGUCUUAUAGUUUGAGGACCAAAAGUGUAAUUUACCCUUUUUAUAUUUUAAUUUUAUUUCAGAUGAAUUCAGAGUUUAUCAUCGAUUAGUUUUGUUCAAUCAGUAAUUUUAUUCGAGGAAAGAAUACGUUAAACUAUCUAAUAAAUUUUAAAAUGCCUAAUCGUUAAAAUUAAAAGUCGACCAAUUAUAUUUUGAAUAUUCCAAAAUAUUUUAAAUGUGAGAUUGAUCACUUAUCAAAUUAUAAAUAUCGCAUUAAAGUUUGAUAUUAAGAUCAAAAUAAAAUCGUAUUAAAUUUUUCUGAAAUACAAACCAUUUUGAAUCAGCUAUACGACCUUUUAAAAUUUUUUUUUUUACUAUCCAACUUUUUUAUAUAUUAGAUUUGAGUCAGUCCACAAUACUUUGACUUCAAAAUUUGAAUGCAUCAUUUAGCUUUACUGAUUUAUACUUCAUGUAAUUUUUGCAACUAAAUUUAUUAAAAUAACUAAUUAAUUUAAACUUCAUCAAUCUCUCUUUUACUUUUUGUUGUACAAUCUAUAUCUAAUUGAUUAAUAUUAUAAAACUAAAAUUUAUAUUUAAUACACACAAUCUUAACUAUUUAAAAGUCAUGUAUAAAUAAUUAUAUAUUUUAAAUUUUUAUAAUGAGAGAGAAAAAUUAGAUUACAUUAAAAAAAUGAGCCCAUUUCAGUCUCAAUCAGUGGAGAGAAAAAAAUUAAAUAAAAAACUUUUUAAAAAAAAAGAACUUGGCCACCCGUACCCCCACCCCCCUCAGGUGGGCCCUACACCAACCCCCAACCCCAGCCCUCCCGCUUCCCCUCCCUGCGACCUGGAUCCCAACUCCGGAUUCAUAUAUUUAUAUGGAUAUGAUUAAGCCCAAAUUAAUUAAUAAUCUUGUAGACUCUCAAUUUGCACCAUUGACGACCUCCCUUGAUGCCAAAGGAGAGAAUUUUGAAUCCUUACACCGAUAUGAAUGAUCCCCUUAAACCCACUCUCCUCAAACUAUCCAAUGAAACUGGUUUAGAAUAAAACAUAUCAAAGCCCUAUGCAUACAAAAAUCAACACAUCUGUUGCAUGUAUCUUUGAGCAGUUUAUAUCUUACUGCUGCUAUGAAUAUGCACAAAAGCACGCAGCAUAUGCAUAACAGUUAGGAGGGCAUGGUGUAUCGCGGACUUUAUGAACCCAAUGCGGAUUUCAAACAUUUGUUAUUAUCUAGGUGGCCAGAAACUCAAUCUACAAGUCAUGAAAUUCAUGCAGAAAGUAAAUUUUCCUAACUAAAAAUCAUAAAAAAUAAACUAUAUAUAAUUGGGAUAAUCAAAAUAUCAAUAAAGAAAGAAUUCAUAAUCUCAUAAAUCAUCAAAAACCCUUAAACAUAUACUGCUUCACUCUAUUCCGUUUUUCUCUCUUUCUACUUGUGACAUCAUUUCCCUCUCUUGUAUUCUAACACAGAAAGAGUGCAAACCAGUACCUUCUAUGAUGAAACACCUAUAUACCCAAAUUCAAAAUCUGGGUUCAAAGUACUUGCGAUACUACCAGCCAUAUUAGCAAACAAAGUGAACUAAGAAUCGCACUAUUACCUGUCAUUAUCCUAAACUCAUAUGUCUCCAACACUCAUGGCAUGACAAUUAGACUGAAUAAUGAAUAUCCAUCAACGACGGAUGCUUUCUACUUUUCUAGACCACACUGUUGCUAACUUGCUAUUAACCAUCAUUAAAUCAUAGAUAUACAUUUUAACUACUGCAAGAAGCUGCACGCACUAAAUCACAAAAAGUAAAUUCUUCUAAUCUAUUUCUUGUAGCUGUUAAUAUCAUGGCUGCUAUUAUCAGCAAUUUCAAUGAAUAAUUUCUUGGCUCUCAUCAACAAUUUGUAAUUUAUAUUCUCUGACAUGUUACAUGGGAUUGCUCCUAGGAAUACACAAAAUAUUUUGUCAAGAAGGUUACUCAAAUUGGUCAUUUCGUUAUUUCAAAUUGAUAGCUACAUAGAAUAUUUACUUCCAAUAGGAAAACAAAAUAAGUGAUCGAGGAGGAAUAGUUAUAAUUGAAAAACUUCACCAUACAUUGUGGCAUAAGAAGUCCCAUAGCAACAACACAGAAAACAAAUAGAGAGCAAUACACCAUUCAAAGCAAUAUUAAAGACAAAAGGUAAAAUAAAGUGCUUCAUGAUACUAGGACAAUUUAGCCAACUCUGAUAUAAAAACUGAAAAUAUACCUGAUUCCUAGUUGCAAGUUUAGCAUGAGAUAGUAGCUCUUGUGACCUUUGUAAAUUGUUUCACCUGGGCUUCUUACUCGUUUCUUUCGGAGUUUAUGUUGCCACAUACUUCUCGUUGAUGCCUUUGAAUCAUAGUGCCUUCUUCUUUCCUUUAUCAAGACACCUUGAACAUAUUCUCUUUCAUAGACAAAAAAUUGGUCAUCUUGAAAUUCAUUUGAACCAUCACAUGAACUGGACGUGUAGUUACUCUCCUGUGACAAAGUACUUCGAGAAUUAUCGUCAAGGUCUGAAACCCCCUCAACUGAGACAGUUGUAUUUGAUAUCCGCCCACGCCCUCGAAGAAACCUCCCUAUAUUCCACCUACCCAAGAUGUUUCUUUCUGAAAUCAAUGUAUUCUGCUUAAUCUCUCCAGAAUUCAUUAAUGACGCAAGAAGAGGACUCUGAGAGCUAUUAUCAUAUGCAGAAUAUUCAGAGAACUUGUGGUACUGAGGAAGUUUGGUCCCAACAGGAGAGAAAGUUCCUUGGCCAUCCUUUAGCCCCUUACUCCAUGUCCCAAAGUAAUAUGACCCAUCAGCAUACUUCAAACAACCUGCGCCAUGUAUUAAUCCAUCUAACCAAGACCCCUCAAACAAAUCACCAUUUGCCCACUUCAUAAUUCCUCUCCCACUCAUUUUACCAGCCUUCCAGCUUCCAACAUAAGUGUUCCCAUUGAUCCAUGUAUACUUACCAACCCCUUCUUGCAAUCCUUCUUUCCAAAAGCCAUCAUAAAUAUCUGAAUUAGAAUAUGUUUUUAUUCCCAUCCCAUGUUGCAUACUCAUCCUCCAAGAGCCUUUAUAACUUGAACCAUCAAUCCUACAGAAAGUGCCCGACCCAUGAAGGAAGCCCCCGCUGAAAUCACCUUCAUAUGUAGCUCCUGAUGACCAACGAACCUGUCCGUGGCCAGUCAUUUGGCUUUUGUCCCACUUACCAAUGUAAAUUGUCCCAUCAGACCACAUAUAUUUUCCUUCUCCGUGAGGAAUCAAUCCAUCAAAGUCUCCAAUAUAGACGUCUCCAUUGGAGAGGACUUCUCUGCUCCAGGCAAUCAAAUCAAUCACUACCCUAAUUAAGAGAAGAGUUUGGAGACAAAUAUACAAAAGAGAAGAAGCAUGUAGGGAAAAAAAAUGUAGAAGUUCACCUUACACUACCCUCAUAGCUCAUCUCUCAUACCAGCCUUUUUAAUUUAUUCUCUGACUUCCUUUUGUAACUUUAAAGGGAAAAGAAGAGAAGAAACUCUUUGGUCACAGAGAACAAACGCAGAACUGCAAGCUUCAACAAUACAAAACAUAAGAAUCAUGAGCGAUGUAAAUAUAAAGAGAUAGGCAAAUAUCAAACUAUAAUCUUACCAAAUCUUAAUCCAUUUGCAUUUUUUUCAUAAAACUAUGAAUUUCAUUAUCCAUGACCAUGUAGAUUGGUUUUUUUUGUUGUCUAAAAGUGAAACAUAGGAAAGUGGUAUUGUAAGAACAAGAGCUUCAAAAAGUAGGUACAUCAAAUCAAGACGAAAAACCAAUGAAGGAACAAAAGGAGCCAACAUUAGUCUUACAUAAUUAGAUAAUAUUUAUUAGUUAUGACUUCCCCGUGCGAAGUUCCCACAACGAAAUUUGAAACAAGAUAAACAAAGAACCAAAAUGUACUAAACGUUAUAACAAUUUCACAUAUAGCAUCAAGCUACUUAACUAGUCAUUGCAUGGGGUGGCCGAUAUGUUUCAUGAAAGCUCUUCUACAAAUUCUAUAGCCUUUUAAGCUGUCCUGAUGAGAAUAACCAUUUCACCUUGUCAGUUUUCAAUUCAAUUGAUGCUUCAUUCAAGGAUUUAAGCGUCAUGCCACAGGGUCGUGCCGGAAACUUGUCGGGACGGUACGGCACGGUGCGUGCCAGGUUGUACCUAUGCGUGUCGGUCACAAAAAAUACAUAUGUGCCGACCAUAAUGGUAUGAAAUAUUUAUUUUCUUUAGCAACAAAUAUUCUAACUGUUUAUUAUGUAUCUUUAUCAAAUCUUUUGAAUUUUAUUGAGAAAUAUUACAUACUAAUUUAAAGAAUAAAGCGUUUUGAGUUGUACCAUCGGCAUGGGGCCUGUAUCGUGCCGAUAUCUUGUUGACACGAUACGGCAUAGUGGACACGGCCCGUGCCGAUGGGCACUUAAAUCCUUGGCUUCAUUCCAUUCAUUAAGAAAAAAAGAAAAAGGUAUUACUUAAGCAACUGCACUAAGGUAGGUAAGAUACCGCUUGUUAAUUUCGAUACCCUGAAAUUAACUUACAUUGAUUAGCAUACCAUAGUCUGCAUCAAUGAAGACAAAAGAGAUCUAGCCCUAUGUCCCAAAACGCAAAUACUCACUAUUAAUCUAAACUUCAAUUAUUUUAGCUUGCUUCAAUCUAAUUUUUGAAAUUGAUACAUAGGUUCCUGAAUUUGUGAUUAAAGAUGUACGGGGUGUUUGGCCAAGCUUUUUAAAAGUGAUUCUAAGCCCAAAAGUGAUUUUGAUUUUUGGGCUCAAUAGAGCGUUUGGCAAUGGAAAUUUUAAAAUCUGAUACUGCUUCUCAAAAUCAGAAAACUGAUUUUUCAACCUCCAGAAGCAGAAGCAAAAAAAAGCUGCUUCUCAAAACUGAUUCCCGCAAAAGCAGUUUUCUGAUUUAAAAAAUUUUAUAAAAAUACCGAAACUACUCCUAAACAAACAAUAUAAUUCUACUCUAACCUUUUAUUCAAUUACUACUUCCAACAACCCUCCUCUCUCUCCCAUUUACCAUAGCCAAUCUCUCUCUCCAACAGAAAAAAAAAUUUCCACUUUCCACUCUUCUCUCCUCCAUCUCCCUCCCUUCUUCCUCUCCGGCGACACCUUUCUCUCCGGCGAAACCUUUCUCUCCGGCGAAUCUUUUCUUACCGGCGAACCUUCUCUCCGGCGAACCUCCAAAGAAGAUACUUUAUUCUCUCUUUUUUUUUACAGCUUUCUCUCUCUCCCUCUCUAUCUUCCCUCAUCACUCGCAGGUCCGACUGGAUCAGCGCCGGCAGGAUCCAUAUUUGUCGGAUCCAGCAAGAUCUACGAUCGUAUGGAUCACUAUUUGCCGGAUUCAACCCCAGAUCCGGCAAGUAAAAUAUCUUUUUUUUCUAAGCAUAAAAGUUUCAGUUAUAUGCAACAAAUCCGAUGUGGGUCCGGCUAGCCGGGGCUGGAUCCGGCAAAGACGGAUCCCGCCGGAUCCAAGCCGACGGGAUCUGUCCUUGUUAGAUCCGGGAUCCGCACUGGAUCCACGUCAGCAAAUCCAGCAAAGACGCCUUGCCGGAUCCAGCCGAAUCCGCGCUGGUUACAUCAAGGAUGGAUCUAUUUAGUUUUUAUCUCCUCAUGGAAGCCAUGAGCACAAAAUACCACUAGCCUGAGUUCAAUUUAUCUUUUCAAUUACUUUCAUAAAAAUCAAGUUGCAAGAAGACCAAGCAUUGUUGUAACCUUUUUUGAUGUUUAAACUUAGCAUGUGUGUUUGAUUGUUUGAUUAGUUUGUAGUGUGAAAUUUUUUAAAAUUUUAUUCAAUUUGUAGUAUUGUGUAGUUUGUAUGCAAUGUUUCGAUUAUUUGUUUAGCAUGUGUGUUGCUUGUAUUUUUUAACACAUAAUUUGUUUACUAGAAAGUUGAAAGAUGAAUCCAUCACAAGGAAAACCAUCUACCCAGAAAGAAAGAAAAAUUAAAGCUACGUGGGAUGCACAAUUGCUCAAAAUUUUUUGCGAAAUAUGUGUUGAAGAGGUUAAUGUCGAGAACGGACCUAAUACUCAUUUUAAUAGAACUGGAUGGCAAAGAAGAAGAAGAAGAUCAUCUUCUUCCCUCUCUCCUUCAAGCUAGAGCAAGCUUGGAGCUUGGUUUAGAGGUAAACCUCAAACCCAUCCAUGGUAGAUUUCUUGAGAUUGGGUUUUAUUGCUUAGAAAUGGUUUGAAUGGAACCUAUGGAAGCUAGGGUGAUGGUUCGGGCUCGCAAUUGAAGCUCGCACCACGGAUUUCCUCACCGUUGCUAACCUAGGGCACGGAAUCGGGAUUUUUGGAAAUCUAGGGUUUUGAUCUAUUUUAAUAGGUCGUAAACCAAAUUGCUAGGUCACGGAACGCGUCGGCGAAGACGGUUCGUCGAUACGACGAGCGGGUGCGAAGAUAUCGCCGAAUCAAGUGUUUAAAGGUUCGGAUCGACCCGAGAAGUCGAGGCGUCGACCAAGGACUACGAAGUUGAGUUUUCUACUAGCGCGGCAUCACCAAGAGGUGGGUGGUGAUCAUCCCGAAGCAAUCGGGCUCCCUUUUAUGUCUUAGUAUUUUGAGGCCUUGCAUCCUGUGUUCACAUGCAUUGUAGGAUAAUUGUGCAUUGCCUUUCCUUAUGCUUGCCUAGCUGAUAUCAUAUUAUGCAUUAGUUGCUGGAUAUAGGGGAUUGAUGAGGAUUGGGUUGAGACUUGUAAUCUUAUAGUGUAGUGGUGAAAGAAUGAUGCAAUAGUUGAAAUCAAAGAACGAGUGGCAUCUAGCUGUUAAUUAAACAAGAACGAGUGGCACAUGUGAGUUGUAGCGUAUAUGAAACCAAUUGACUAUGGUGGCAGUAACCCUAGUGAACAGGAUACCCUUGAGGUGGGAGAAUUGGAUCAUACUCAUUGUCUGUUCACGACUUGUGGUGGUCGCUCCACACAAGUCGUGCGCUUCGGAGUCAGUCGCGAGGGAUGGCCUAUUUGGGGUCCCGUGGGAUAGAGAUGGCCUAUUUGGGGUCCCGAGGGAUGGCCUAUGUGGAGUCCCGCAGACGGUCUCGGAUUCGAAGUAUCGAGAUGGCUAUGUGAGUAGUAGGUGGAUCCUUGAAUGAACCACGAGAUUAAUGAAUAAGUAAACAGCCUUACUUCUUGGACAUAUGAAGAGCUAGUUGAGUAUCCAUUUCAUUGCGCAUGCAUCUUCAUAUAUAUGAUUCGGGCACGGUAGCGUAGCUUGCUAUUCUGUUAUUACAGCUUUCCAUAUCUAUCUAUCUGUUUAUCUACUUGUGCCCACUUGGACCUAGUGGGGAGACCGGCGGAGUCGGCGGCCGAACCCACUGGAAACUAUGGAAGAUAGUUCUCACCCCACUCUUUUCAGGUUCGAGCUCAGGUGUCCCCGGCGAGCGCGAGGAUCGUGGUAAGGGCUUAGCGCCCUAGUUGCAUUAGCUGUCCACCCAUUUUGCAUUAGCUCUACCCUGUAUUUAUGUUUGAGAGUAGAUGUUGUAUAGGGUAAGGUUUGAGAGUGCUUGUACACAUGUUUUGGAUGAAUGUAAAAGAUGGAAUUAAAUGUAUUAAGUUGAAUGAAUGUAAUAGAUAGAACUUUCUCUCUUUAUUUACUUGUAUGUCUCAUACUUGUAUCUUGCUCUUGUUUUGGUUGGCACUGGUGGUGCUACUCGUGAUCGUGUAUUCAUGAAUUGAUUCCUGGGUAAAUUCUUAUACAUGAUCAGUUGGUUAGCCUUGGGCGGACAUGGGAGAUCCUGUCCGUUCGGCGUCUGUUCGACGCGCCCGGACCGGACCAAAUUGGUAGCGGUCUCGGGGCGUGACACCAAGCCUAAUAUGCCGCAUUACAAGGGAGCAUGCAAGAAUAGUAAAAGUAACUACUAGACACCCUAUCAUGCACAAUACUACACAAGGACUAUGAUCAACAUUAAGAUACUUAGACAUAGGAAGAAGCCCAGUUGCUUCGGGAUGGACACCCCCCACCUCUUGGGUAAUGUCGCGAUGCUAGGUACUCGAUCUCGCGAUCCUUGAUCGCCGCUUUUGCUCUUCAGGUCAACACGAAGCCCCGAACACUUGUUUCGGCUAUAUCUUCGCACCCGCUCGACGAAUGCUCAAUCCGUCGCUUCCUACGCGUUUAGACACCUAGCAAUUAGGUUAAUACAUGAUCAAUUUAGAUCAAAACCUUCCUUUUCCAAAAACCUCAAUUUUGGAGCUCUAGGUUUGCCCAAUGCAAAAAUCCCCUUCUAGCUUCAAGGUUCAAGCAUAAAGCUUUUCUUUGGCAUCAAAAAGAUCCAAUGAAACCAAUUCUAGAAGAUAAAAACCCAUCUAGAAGGAUCUACCAUGAAAGCUCUCAUGAGCUUACCUCUAUAGCAAGCUCCAAGGGUGGAGAGGAAGAAGAAGAUCCUACUAAUCCUUUCCUUGGUCUUAAUCUCCACCAAAAUCUCCUCCUUCUUCGCCUUCUAGAGAGAAAGAAAAAGAGUUUAAAGAGAGAGAGGGAGCUAGGGUUUGUGUUUGGGAGAGAAAUAAAGGAGAGAGAGCUCAUUCCUCUCUAUAUCCCUCAACUCACGUAACAAUUGCUAAUAAACCCCUCCACUUUGCCUCUCUUGGCAUGCCCAAACUGGGCAUUUUUCGUGCUCGGGGACUGGUCUGUCCCUAUAGGGACCGGUCCCCGUAAGCACCUCUCGCGGAUAGAAGCUAUCUGCUAAUUUCCACGCGCACGGGGACCGAUCUGUCCACCAAAGACCGGUCCCCGAGAGCAAAUAUCGCACGCAGAGACUUCUCUGCCGCAACCAAGCUUACGGGAACCGUCCCUCACACCAGGGACCGGUCCCCGAGAGCAAAACCUGCAACUUAGCAGAUUUUCACAAUCUUGCUCUCCGAGGUCCGUUGCAAUGCACUUUUCGCAUUUUUAACUUCUUCGGCUUCUCCGAAGCACAUCCACUCGACAAUCAGUCGAUUCUGAACGAAGUCCAACUCUCGGAUUUUGAGAAUUCACUUCCUUACAACUUUAAUGUCAAAGGCAGGAAGCAAAUUGAAUUUCAGCAGCCCAUACCAUCCACAAACUGACGGGCAGACGAAAAUAGUAAAUCGAUCUUUGGGUAAUCUCUAAGAUGUUUAGCUGGAGAAACACCAACACAAUGGGAUUUAAUUUUACCUCAAGUUGAAUUUGCUUAUAACAGUUCCAUAAACGGAACCAUUGGAAAAUCUUCUUUUGAAGCUUUAUAUGGCCGUCCUAUUGCCCACUUUCUUGACCGAGCACCAAUACCUUACCCUGGUAGAGUUAGUGUAGAUGCCGACUAUUACCUAAAACAGAUUCAAAAGGUGCAACAACAGGUUCAUCAGAGGUUGCGGGAUCCACUGUCAAGUACAAGGAGUCAGCGAAUAAACAUCGCCGAGGUAUGACAUUUAAUGAAGGAGAUAAUGUCUUGAUCUAUUUUAGGAAAGAAAGGUUCCCAGCUGGAGGCUAUAGCAAGUUGAACAGGAAAAAGUACGGACCAUUCAAAAUUCUGAAGAAGUUAGGGGAAAAUGCUUAUCUAAUUGAUCUACCUCCGGAAGUAUCGACGUCCCCGAUCUUCAAUGUUAGCGAGCUGUACGAGUAUCAUGGAGAGGCUACCUCUACUGUCAAUAUUGAUGGCUUGACAUCUCACUCCGACAUUGAAACUCCAGUAGAUGGUGUGGAGGAUAUUCUGGAUGUGCGCGAGUCUGCGACGCGACGUGGUACUCAUUACCGAUACUUGGUGCGUUGGCGUGGACGACCAUUGUCCAAUAGUAGUUGGAUUUCUGAGGCAGAGUUGUGCCAACUUCGAGAGGACUUAUACCAGAGCUAUCAGGAUGCCAUCUCGACGGAGUCGAGAUUUCCCCAACUCGAGGGGAACUAAUGCAACAAAUAAACCUCAUUUUAUUUUUGAAUGCAAUUUUCUUUUAUUUUGUAGGUUCGUGUUUGAUUCGGACUUAAAUCAUUUAGUUUUAGUUGAUUUGGCUAAUCCAAACACUUUUCUCCAAUAAAUAAGGAAACAAUCCCAAAAAAGACCUUUGGAAUUCCCCAAAAUAAGACCUUUGAAGUUCCCAAAAUUGCUUCGUUUUCUAUGCAUGACUCUUAGGUGACCGUAUUAUGUUGAAAACGAAAAGACAAUAAUUUAUUAUAGAAGGGCACUCAACACUAUAAAUACAUGGUUCUUGAAGCCUUAAGGAAGAUAUAUUUGGAUGAAUAGAAAAUUCUACUCUCACUCUUUAUCCUUGGUGUUCUACUUCCUGGUGAGAUCAUCGACGCUUCUUCCUCGUGACAAAAUCGGCUUCUACUUCUACCCCUCCUCUUCUUCCGAGUCACUACCUCAUCUUCUUCUUCCCCGUUGCCGAAGUUCUACCCGUGGUGUACCGCCCUCUCGUCGAUCGUGGAUCCCCCGCAAUCGUGUGAACGGUGCACUUUUUGUAUCUCUCAUCUCCUGAUACCCUAUUAUCCCCUUUUAAUCUAGCCUUCCACCAUUACCAACAAUAUUUGCCAAACAACGAAACCUAAAGUAUUAAGUCCGAUAAAGCCGAAUUUACCUUUUGGAACUAUUAUAUGUAUUUUCAGUUGGUUGUUAUUAUCUCAUAUAUUGAAGGUUUAUCAUCAUCUUAGUAUUACUUCAAUUCGAUUUUAAUUUUUGUCUUGCUGAAAUUUUUGCUUCCUUGCUUAAAGUUCAUCGGAAUUGAUAAAUUGAACCUAGUUUUAUCUUUAAACAAAAGCAAACUUGAAAAUUCAAUUUUGGCAACCUCUCGGUUUGCAUCAGCAUGUGUAGUCAUAGUGAACAUGAUACAAAAGGGUGUACAAAUUUAGUAGUUGCCAGAUAGACACUUUCGAGAGCUUAGUACCAGUAGCAUAACAUUAUCUAUACCUUGUGAAUUACACUGUACGGUGAAAACUUGAGAUUACUGGACAUGGGCCAGUAUAACUUGUAAACUUGUAUUGCCAUGUGGCAAGUGACACGUAAGAAAAUGUGAAAGUGCCAACGGGCAUGUAAACUAUGAAAAAGACAACGAAAUGUGAUAUGGAAGUGCCAAAGUGCAAUUAAACAGUGUGAGUUAUGAAAAGGUAAUGUGAGUUGUCUUAUUUCUCAUUGCAUUUGACUCCAUGGUCCCAAGCCGUUUUCGAUGAUGGAGUUUCUGAAUCGACGAUCAGCUCCGUUAGACUUGAUCUAGCAUAUUUAAACUAUUUAGAAAAUAAAUUUUGCGAUUUUUCGGUAUCAUUUACCUACCGAUCGAAAGGGUUCAAAAUCAACAAUUUUUAAUGGUUGAUGUAUAGCGUUUAUAAGUUUAACAGUGUAGAAGUAUUCAAAUUAGAUGAAAUUUUGAUAGAAAAUUCUUUACACUAUUGACAGCAAGAUCAAUUUCUCUGAUCGAAAAUUUUAAUGCUAUAUCACCACUUUUUGUGAGAUUUUUAUUUUCGGCAUUGAUUUUGAACCCUUUGGAUCGCUAGGUAAAUGAUAUCGAAAAAUCGCAAAAUUUAUUUUCUAGAUACUUACAAAUACGCUAGAUAAGUCUAACGAAACCGAUCGCCAAUUUAGAAGCUCCAUCAUCGAAAAUGGCUUAAGAGCACUGAGGCCUUCAUGCUCCUAAUAGCAUACAAGACCUACUCAUAUAUAUAAAUUUAUUAUAUAUAUAUAUAUAUAUAUAGUAUAUAUAUAUAUAUAUAUAUAUAUAUAUUAUAUAUAUAAUUUGGGCUGGAAUACUAUAAAUAGCAUUUGGGCUCUUUUGCUAUCGGUUUUAACUCUUAGAUGAAAAAUUGUAGGGUUAUGAUGAUAGUGGUCCCUAGGGUUUAGUGGUGGUCCACCUAGGGUUUAGUGGUGGUCCCCCUAGGGUUGAGUGGAUGGUUGGUUAAAUAGUAUGAUCUAAAGAGUGAAAUUGAUUACGGCUAAAAUUGAUAGCAAAAGUGUAAGGUACCGAACUUCUGUUGUAAGGUACCGAACUUCUAAAAUUAUUGCAGUUACGGUGGAUGUAGUAUGCUGGGAUUUUUAAUAUAAAAAUAAUAUAAAUAAAAAUAGUGUGAGAUACUAUUUUUAUUGGAUUUAGGGUGUAAAGUAUAAGUUGGAAAUGACAUGUGCUGAAAUCGGAGCGAAAACAGAAGAUUUAGAAUUUUCUGUGGAGACGGGCAGAUAAAUUAGCGAAAAUGCAGUGUCAGAAAAUUCUGAAAACUGGAGGAUAAGCCAGAAUUAUUUUUAUAGGCUAGAUUUAAAGUUUCAUAUCAUUCUGAUACUCAAAAGGUGAAAAUAAAUCGAUAGUGAUCUGAUAAAGAUUACAAGUUCGGUACAGCUUUCGGUGACAACGGGGUCGAAACUGAAGAUUAAAAUUUCUUUCGUUAAGUUAAGCAAAACCAACAUAACUGUCAAAUUUGAACUUAAACGGAUAUUCAGAGGGCUCCGGCGAAAAGAUAUUAGAUUUCGUACUACCUGAAGGAAUAGUGUAUGCUACUAUUGGGAUGUUGACUAUAAGUAGAAGCUUCUAGUCUUCUUCUUCUUCACAGCCACCACCACCCCACAACACCACAGCUUCAUGGUGGUGGUGAAGAGAAAUCCUCACUUUCUCUCUCUAAAUAACUCUCUCAUCUCUCUAGAUCUUUCGCCCAAAUUCACGGCGUUGGCGGAGAACGAGCUUGCGAACGCGUUGGGAGCGACGGAUCGAGCUUUCGUGCGCCCGUUGGAGCGGCGUGCUUCCGUCUCGGCGUUCACAUUUUGGUAAACUUUUGGGAUUUUUGACUUAAUCCUUAACCUUAGGUGUUCUAGUAGCCUCUAAUGAGCAUUCGUAGCAUGUUGCUCCAUUUAAUUUGGAUUAUUUGGAGGUAAUUGCAUGUUAGGGCUCAAAAAUAGGAUUUUGCAAUAUGUGAGGGUUUGAUCUAAAUUGAUCAUGUAUAAACCUAAUUGCUAGGUUUUCUGACGCGUCGGCGAAGUCGGUUUGGCGAUACGACGAGGCUGCGUGAAGAUAUUAAAGAACGAAGCCAUUAAGGUACAGAUUGCCGCAGCUCGUGGCGAAAGCUUCCAAAAAUCACGAAAUCGGAACCCUAGCCUCAUGAUAGCGAUAAAAGGUGGGGGGUGUCCAUCCGAAGAAAUCGGGCUUCCUUCUAUGUCCGAGUUAGAUUUUUGGUCAUAUUGCACAUAUGGUUCUUAUGCAUUAUAGGAUGUAUGUAUAGUUGCAUUUCUAUUUCCUUGCAUGCAUGUCUAGUUGUGUAGCAUUAUGGACUUGACACUUAAAUCUAGAAUGCAUGAGGAUUAGGGUUUGUGACAUGAGAUCCUAUAGUGAUAAGAAAAUAGUGAACUCGGACUUGAUGAUGAAAACUAGUGACAUGCGAACUAGUGUAUAGAAAACACUAUGACUUGGACGAGUGGCAUGUAAACAAUGUUAGUUAACAACAUGACGAGUGGCAUUGGAAUUUAGUGUAAUAAAAACACUUGUGGCAUUGAGCAUUAGGGAAUAGGUGAGUUUCCCUAGUCAUGGCAUAUUGCAUGAGAAUUAGCGUACUUGAGACACUAUGGCAUCAAACAUAGGGAUAGUUCAAUUCCCUAGUGUAAGUUGAUUAGUGUGGUUGAGACACUUGACAUGGACCUAGGGAUAGGUGGAUUUUCGAGUAUUUGUUAACCUAGUUGACAGGGUAUCCUCAGUUGGCGAGGAUUGGAUCAUACUCACAUAGUCUGUUUUGAGCUUGUGGUGGUCGCUCCACACAAGCAGUGCACUCCGGAGUUGUCACACGAGCUGGGUAGCUCACGAGCUGGGUAGCUCACGAGCGGGGUAGCUCACCGGGUGGGAUACGAGCGGGGUAACUCCUCACCCAUUGGACUGGGAAGUGAGUUCGGGCGAAUGGCGGGGUAGCCCUUCCCCUAUGAGGAUUGAGCGGGGUAGCUCAUUACUUAUGAGAAUUGAGCGGGGUAGCUCAUUACCUAUGAGAUUAGAGCGGGGUAGCUCUUCAUCUAUGACCUUUGAGAUAUGAGACGGGUGAGAAAAGAGCGGGGUAGCUCCUCACCUAUGAGAUUUGAGAUAUCAGUCAGGGCGAAAAGCGGGGUAGCUCUUCACCUCUUCACCUACUAGAUUGUGGUGUGAGUACCUAUGAGAUUUGAGAUCUUAAGCGGGGUAGCCUAGUGGAUUGGGUAAUGAUAUGAAUAGCAUAAGUGGAUUGCAUAACUAUGUUGUAUUUGUAUUCAUUACAUUGUUGAACAUAUUAUCAUGAUAGUAGGCUUAUUGCUAGACAAUAUUUCAUGAAUUGCUUGCAUUUGAUGGCACAAUAGAUCAUAGUUGCAAUUCAAUAUCUAUCUAUCUCUCUAUCUAUCUAUUUGUGCCAGCUUAGGCCUAGUGGGAAGAUCGGCGGAGUCGGCGGCCGAACCCACUGGGAACUAUAUUUAUAUAGUUCUCACCCCGUGUGGUUUUGGGGUACAGGUACACAUGUGAGCGGACCGGCAGGUGAUCGCGGUAAGGGCAUAGCGCCCUAGCUAGCUAGUAGAGCUUUCCUAUUGUACUAGAGCACCCUCGUGUGCAUGGUUAUAGAUGACAUGAUGUAUUUUGGAUAGCUAGCAUUAUAUAUAUGUGAGAUGAUUAUGUAUUCAUUUUGGGUGAUGAUGAAAAUGUAAAUGUAAUCAAAGAUGUAAAAGUGGAAUGUGAUGUAAUAGCUAGAUGUAUCUCUCUUUUUGCACUUGUAUGUAUACUUGUGUUACUUGCUCUUGUUGUAUUGCACUCUUUGUGCUUCCCUCCUCGUUGGAUCGUGUAUGUAUUGAAUUAUCCCUGGGCAAAUUCUUUGUACAUGAUCCUGUGUUGAGCCUUGGGCGGACAGGGGAGGUGCUGUCCAUUCGGCGUCCGUCCGGCGCGCUCGAACCGGACCAAGUUGGUAGCGGUCUCGGGGCGGGGCGUGACAAAAAGGGCCCAAAUACUAUUAAUAGUAUUCCAGUUCAACUCUCUCUCUCUUGCCCCCCAACAAAUUUGAGUUUUAGUUGCGAUUAUUUUAAAAUUUCCGGCAAUUAUAAUUGUCACCAAAUAGUUUCAUGGCAAUUAUGACAAUUGCCACUAUUGGUAGGGUCCGUAAAAAUUAUUGUGGCAUUUGUUCCAGCUGUUGAUAAAAGUCUAAAUAAAUACGGCUAAAUACUACACAAUAGCAACUAUUAUAAAUGCCACUAUAAUUAAUUAUAACGGCCACAAAAAGCAUCUAAAUGAUUGCUAAAUAAAACUUAUAGCGGCAAUUAUAAUUAAUAUUAAAAUAGUUGAACCGCAACUAAAUACUCAAAUGAAUUAAAAUAUUAAAAAAUAGUAAUAACCAAAGAGCAUUAAUAAUUUGUACAACUAAUAGUCUUUACUCUCAAAUUACAAUCUCAAUAUUCAAAUUAAAUUUUGGGCAUGAGUUCUAAUAAUAAAAUACUUGUUCAAAAUUUAGCUUUGAACUCGAUUCCACAACUAACUCAAACUACUAGACUUUAUAUUUAAUCAUCUCCACUACAAGAGAAAUUAUACAAUACCAUAUAUUAAUUUUCGAGUUUCUGCGAUUCAGGUGAAAGAAAAAAAAGAAAAUUGUCUAUGUUCAGCAAAAGCCAAAUUAGAAAAUAUGCCAAAGCAAAAUAGCAGGUGCUGAUGUGAAAAUGACUUGUUGUAGAAAAGGAGGAGAAAUUACCAUCAAAAGCAUCAUUGGAAGUUGCUGUUUGAGUGCUGCAAUCGAUCCAAAAUUGAAGCCUCUCUUCGGCAAUAUCCUCCUCCACACCGUGAUUUUUGGCUCUUCUCCAGAAAUAUAUCAGCCAUGCCUAAAGAAGAUUAGAUAAAGUUAGCAAAAUUGUGCAACAGGAACAUAGUCCCCGAAAUCUUUGAUCUGAAAAAAAAAGUGGCUGCUUGACAAUACCAUAUAUUGCACUUUCACGAAGCAAAAGACAAAUCAAAGCUGUACAAGAAAGAUAAAAGGCAGCCUUGAGGUAGUCUUCCCUAAAUUUAGAGCUCCAAAAUGUUAGCAGUUCGGUCUGUAUACUUUGCUUUGCGAAAAUAUUAAUAAUGGAAAAUAAAAUACCUUUUUGUUUUUCUUUUACCAUUUUGGUUAGUGGCAAUAUUCAUGCUAAGAGUAUCCAUAUCAUGAUGGAAUGAGACUAGUUGUUACUAAAAGAAUCAGAGAGUAACCAAAACCAACAAUCAUGAUUCCUUUAUCUGAAUAUGAUAUAUUGUCCUAACCUAAGAAUGAAAUUUUAGAUGGUCUUUCAUGUAUAAAAGAACAAUAAGGAAAUAGUAUUCUAACAAAAUGGAGAAGUUAGGGGUAAAAUGGAUGGGAUCUAUGCUGAAAUGGUCAUUGAAGAAAGAAAGAUGUUAAGCUACUCCCAAAAUUGUUCAUUAGUUACAUACAGUUAACAUCAUAGCGCAUAGCAAGCUUAGAGCGCUUUCACCAAAUUUACAAAACCAAUCCUUCUAAUUCCAGUCUAACAAACUUAAGCUAGAAGCAACUAACUACAACGGUAUGUUUACAAAACCAUAGUGACGAGGUGAAAUGCAUAAAAAGAAGUAGAAUUGAAAGUCCCUCACAAAACAUGAAAACAAUGCAUGUUUUGGAAAGAAAAUCUUGGCUUGAAAACUACAAAGGGAAAUUGUUCCAAAGCUUGAAAAUAGCAAAUAUGAUUAAGUCAUAAGAGUCAGAAUAAAAGAGUGAGAACACCAAUUUAGAGUGCAAGGUACAAUUAAAAGAAAUUGCACAAAUAAGACUCUGAUUCUCUAGCAUAUAUGAAGGUGUUCAAUUAAAUGUACAUUAAUUGUGUAAAUAUCUAGUAUGUCCAUUAGCAUCAUAUUUAUGUUUAUGUCUUAAAUAACUGGCAACUAGUGCACAAAAUGAAUUAACAAAAAUAUUAAGUUCAUAGUUCAUGUGAAUGAGAACUAAGAACUGAAAUUAAUCAGUCGAACACAAUCGAAUAUACGGAAAAACCAUAUAGAUAAAUACAAAAAUAUAAACUUAGCAACCGAACAUCAGUAAAAUACAGGCAAAUACAUCAGACUUCAUUGUUCUUUUUUUUUGUCUUUUUUAAUCUUUUUUUUUUCCUUCUCUAUUUUUGAAGCUCAUAUUUUGUUUUCUGUUGAUAUGAACAUGGGAACUACUGUAUACUUCAAAUUUAAUAGGCAAAAGCAAACUACUUACAGUAAAUGAACAAUGCGUCUUCUGAUGUAAGCUUGGAGCAGCUUCCUAGAUCCAGGACUUCUUCAGGAACCUAGACCACAAGAACCAAGUAAGGUGCUCCAUUGGAAAUUUAGAAAACAAAGUAAAAUAAAGACAUGGCACACAAUAAGUUAUAACUACAAUAGGUAGUGAUGAGAAUUACUUACGAGACUUGUUUGUAUCUGCUAUAGUGCUACUACAAACUAGGGGUGUCAACGAGCCGAACACGAGCUGGCUCAUGAACAACAAGUUUAAAAAAAUUAUGAGGAAUACGUAUAGAAAAUAAAUUUAUAAGAUCUUACCUAUUUGACUUUAAUCUAAUAGUUGAAACUUUACAUAUAAAUGACUUCUAUAUAUUUGAGUUGGCCUUUAUAUUUAGGUUAAGCUAAAAAUCAAUUAUUUAUAUAUAUAAAUAUAAAAUAUAUGUAUUCGAGCUGUUAUCGAGCCGAACACGAGUGAACUGACCCCAGCUUGUGUUCGGCUCAUUUAUUAAACGAGCUGAAAAAUUCAGCUCGUGUUUGGCUCAUUUAUUAAAUGAGCAAUUCGAUCUCGAGCUCAUUUCGAGCCGAACACGAGCUAGCUCGGGAACAACGAGCUAGAUUGCCACCCCUACUACAAACAUCAUUAACCUUUAGCAAAAAGCAACUAGUAUGUGUGAAUGGCUAAAAAGUGCAUAUAUAUCUUUCAGUGGAGAAUAACAACAAGAACGUAACUACAAACAUCACGGUAAAAUAUUUAUUCAUUUUCUGUGAUUCCUAGAAGAAUGGGACUCCCCAAGUCAAAGUUAUCACUUCGCUCUCCAAAACUUUUGGCUAAUGAGCUGCUUGAGCACAAGCUGCAAAACUUGCAUAUAUUUCCAAUUCACAAAAUUCAACUCAAGUGGUCUUAGCUUCCAUGCCCUUUUCAUGGCUUUUGCAUUUAGAGUUUAAGUUGCCUUCUUAUCUUAAGCAUUUUCUUUUUUGUAACACACAAAGUUCCUCGGAGCUCUCUAGUGCCAAACAUUCCAAAGAACUCAUUAUGACAUCAUGUUUUAGCAACAAUAAAUUAUUUCGUAGGUUGUAAAAUGACUUAUAAAUUACUUUAUCUAGACAAUAAGAAUUAAAACAACACAACCGAGCUUGACUAUGCUAGAUAAACAGGACAAAGAAUCUCCAAGUAAUCAAGCGAACUUAAUCACAUCACUUCACUUCCAUGUUCCGUUGCAGAAAGCUUGCCCUUAACACGCCAAAGUCAUAGAUGAUUAGUUAUGCAUACCAACUAGUAUAGAAAAAGCUUCAUUUGCACAGAGAAUAAAGCACUUUCUUCUAUUGUCGGCUUCGCCGAAAAAGAAUGCAAUCCACAUAUAUAUCAUAUAGCGUGAGUAAUCUUGCAACAAAAGAUCGCAAAAAAGGGAGAUCGUUUCUCCAAUCAAUUUAUCAGGACGAGCCCAGAAAACGCCAUUAGAGACCACCGUUUGAGGAAUCGGCUUCCUCAAAAAAGGAUUAUCUGCUGACCUACCGCCAUAAUUCUAAAUCGAGCUUUUUGGUACCUGUUGGAGUGGAGUAUAUCCUUGGCGAGGGCGAUGAUAGGCUCGAUGACGCUGAGGAUCUCGGCUUCCUUAUCCUUCCACCGGCGAAACCCGGGCUUGUCAGCCCAGGCCCUGGAGAGGGAGGGGGGAGCGGGGAGCGGGGAGCGGGAAGCGGGGCCCUUGGCGCCGAGAGGAGCGCCUACCCCACCGUUGGCGUGUGGCGGCGGCGGAGGGAGGUCGUCGGCGGUGGAGAGCACCGAAAGGUGACGGCGCGCCUCCACGAGCACGGCUGCACCGGCGGCGGCGCGGGGGAGCGCGCCCUCCGAAGGAGGAGGCCAAGGGCGAUGCCGGCGGCGGCGGAUAUCCUCAAAGCACGUGUUGCCGAGAAGGUCGGGGAGAAGUGAGGGCGAUUUGGGGAUGAGAUCGGAGCUCGCAAAGGAUGCGGAGGAAAAGGAAGGAGGGGAUGAGUAGAGGUGAAAGAGAGGGGGAGUGCUCAAGCUCGGACUCACGGAGAGGGUCGGGUGGUCCUGGGAUCGGGGGAGGGGAGAGAGAUAGGGGUGUAACGUGGGACUUGCUGGUUGUCAUGGCCCACAUUAGUCGGGCAGAAACGGGUCACAGGGUGGCCGGGCCCGGCCAGUCGUCAAAUCCGGGUCGGGCCAUACUAUGCCAGAGCUAAUCAGUUCCCAGCCCAGCACGGCCCUUCGGCCUGGAAGUCACAGGCCGUCCCAUGCCGAGCCGGGCCGUGCUCCGGGCCGGUCCUUUAUUUGUUUUAAUUUUUAAAAAAAACAUAAAAUUUAAAAAUAAUAAUAAUAAAUUAUUUUUAUUUAAAUUAGUAUUUUGAUUAAAAAAAUUAAAAUUUUUUAUUUUAAAUAUUGUUUAUUAAUUGUGAUUUAUCUGGUAUAUUAUAAGUAUUUGCUUUUGUAUUAUCAUUUAACCGUUUAUAAUUUAUUAUUAUUCUAGUUUUUUCUCUUACUAUCUCAGAAUGUUUCAUUACUAUAAAAGCAGCAAACCUAUGUUUUGAGUUUUACCAUUUUAUUACUUCUAAAUUUAAUAGUUCGUUUAUAUGCAUCUUAAAUUAUUCUUUUUCCUCGUUAGAGACUUCUAGCGAGGCUGUCUUAAUUAUGUAUUCAGGAUUAAUAGUAUCUACUUUACAAUAUAACUUAUUUUUAUCCCAGUACUUAACAGGAUUUUGUCUAAUUUCUCUAGUAUCUUAUCUAUAUCUGCUUGAUCUCUAAUAAAUCCUAUAUUUAAUAGCAUUUUUUUCCAAUUCAUAUAGUCUGGUUCGUAAUCAAAUGCUAAAUAAUUUUGUUCUAAAAGUUUUUCAUAAUUAUAAUUAAAAUCAAAAUCAUCUAAUUCUAUUAAAUCUAAUUCGUUUUCAACUUCUUGUUUCUCAAUUAUUUUAUCGUAAUCUAUUAGUCCAUUAGUUUGUAAGUUUUGGCAACAUACUUUCCCCUGUGUACAAUUAUCACAACAUUUUUUUCUUUUAGGUUCUGAUUCUGUUCUAGUUUUUAUAUGGUUAAUAUGUACUGGAGUUUGAGUAAUCUUUUUAUAAAAGUGAACAGUCCUUAUUUAGACUUAAAUCUCCUAAUUGAUUUAGGAUAAAGUUUAAUCAUAAAACAAAAUCAGUGUUGAUAUUUAGUAGUCUUAACCAUAUUUUUGGCAAGGCAUUGUGGUAUCCCUGGUGUUCACCAGUUGAGACUUGCCGACAGCUCUGGAGAGUGUCGAGACAAGUCCGAGUCGCGUUGGUAUGAAAUACACGCAAAACGGACUCAGCAGGGACGCGAGAGUAGGACUUGGCAUUGGAAUCUGCAAACAGCAGAUUUUCUGCUUGUUGUACCGGUACAACCAUUAAGGCGUACCGGUACACUUUCUGUACCGGUACAACAUUGGGGGUGUACCGGUACACUUCGACAGAUUUUGCGCAGCUGCUCUCGGGUUGCCAUUUGUACCAGUACACUUGCUCGUGUACCGGUACACCAGGGUAGGUGAGAUGGCAUUUUGGUAAUUUCUCACCUCGUUCGUGUCACCCACUCCUCUCUAUCGCUUAUAUGUACGUAGAGGGUUAGAGAGAUAGAUUUUUACUGCAUUCCUCCUCUCUUUCCCUAGCAUUGGUCGAGCAAGAAGGAGUUCGGGUGGAGUUGCCGUGGAGCUCGGACCGACGUCGACGUCACACCGCGGUGCCGUUCGAGCGAGUGUUUGUUGUCGUAGCAUUGCGAGGAGACCGGCCGAGGGUGCGAUUCAGCCGUUCUCGACGUCGCGCCGAAUUGGAUUUAGUGUUUGAGGUGGGUUAAUAAUCGGUUUGUCUUCUAAGUAUAUAAAUAUGGUCGGCAUGUGUAGUUCUAGCUUGUUGCAUAUCCGGUUUGCUCAAUUCAUGGAGUUUAGACAUAUGUAUAUGUAGAAUAUGAAUUUGGAGCUUAAUGUUGUGACUAGAUAUUGACACAUGUUGGACUUGGAUUUGACUUAGGAGAAAACCGCAAAUAUAACUUGUCAUAUACUUACACUACCUGAUUUAGCUCUAGGAGUCGUUAUCAUUUUGUAUCGCUGCAGUAUCGGUGUGGUGGAUACUCCAGGUAGUGUAGUGUACUAUUACGCUCGUGCUGGGAUGCCGAACCUUUUUUUACAGUAGCUUUCAAAUUGUUCCGGACUAUUGGGUGCCGUUGGGACUGACGGUGGACCCGGAUUGCCGUUUUGACAUUAGAUUGUGCUGAGGGCACGUGACUAUUUGGUUGGUAGACCAGUUAGACCCAGUGUACUUGACUAUAGCCUGCGAGAGCCUGAUUGAGCUCGACAGAGAUACGCUUGCAUACUCGGUUGGGUAGCGCCCACGAGUGCCACUCUGGAGUCGGGCCUAGUGCUGUUGCAUUGGUGUUGUUGUGUCCUGGUUGGACUUGCUCUCCACUAACUACCUUGCGGGGGUGGUUGUUAAUGUUGCUUCGACAUGCAGGACGGGUGUAUCACAGUCCCUGAAUAGAUUGGGUCAGCAUUGAUAUUUUUUACUGCAGAUGAUUAGAGUAUAGCAUGAUAGUGUAGUGAUAUUUAGCUAUAGAUGUUUUCCAGCUUUCCUACUAUCCCAGCUCCUUUCUGUAGACUUAGUGGGUAGACCGAUGAUUGUUGAGGGCGACACCCACCGAGGACUACUUAUUUUUACAAUAGUUCUCACGCCCAGUUGUUACCCCUCUUUUGUAGAGCUUGCUGUUCCGGUUGCUGCUUCCUCUGAGACCGAUCGUGGCAAGGGCGUUGCCGGUUAGAGCCCUUCCCAGUUGUGGCAGUUCGAGAGGAUACCAGAUUCAGGUAGUGGUUUUGUUUCCUUUACAGUUCAUGUACAUGCAUCUUUCGUAACUCGCCGGAGCGAGUCUUUUGUAUCAGGAUGUUUCGUAUGUAUACAGAACUGGCUUUUGUUUACCAGCUUUAUUUAUGCAGCUCUAUACUACUAUUUGUAGUAUUGUAUGUUUAUACAGGUACAGCUAUCGCUUCGUAUACAGAGAAAAUUUCUUUGUACACGGCGGAUUUGUUGGCGUGCCCGGGGAACGAGACAUCCGGGGUGUGAUAGAUUAAGUUGGUAUCAGAGCUCAGUUGUAGGUCGUUGGGACCUAGGUAACCUAAGUGGACAAACCUUAGAAAGGCAAAACGCGAGAGCCGUGAUUAAUGCGAAAGUCAAUGAUUAAUUGUUCUAACUCAUCCUAGAGCGGAGUGAGUGAUUGAAGGAGUUUCUGUUUUGGCCUGAGAAAUUAUGUUGGCUGCAGACGACAUAAUUUUGGAGGAAAAUAGGGACUGCCUUCCAGACUUUCAUUGAUUGGGUCGAGAGUGUUUGUAUUGUAUCUGACCCCGUUCCGUUUUCUACAGUUAUGUAUCGUCGCCGAGGUCGACCGUCCUUGCGGGAGCGUGCCCAGUUGACGCAGGAUCAUGCGGGACCUUCCGAGAUGCCAGAGCAGACGGAGCGCAGUACGCGACAGGAGGCGAGUGCACCCCCUGUUGUGGAGCCGAGUGCGCGACCUGAGGUGUAAUACACUGGACUUUCGCAAAUGGCAGAGUUCGAGUGUGUGGAAGGAAGUGUGGAACUAUCCUACAUGUUCUAAAUGACUUGGACAAGUUUUUGAACAAGUUAGAGAGUGAUUGGAGGGUUAAAAGUAAGAAAUUGCAUCAAACUGGCGAAAAUCAGCAUUUUCUGCUUGCUGUACCGGUACAGCCAUCACCUUGUACCGGUACAAGCUGGCAGAUUCGUGGCAGCAAGGCUAGUUUGGUAAUUUCACACUUGAUCCCUACCUAUUUGAUCCCAGCACGACUCUGGGACUUCAGUAGAGUAUGCAAGAGCUCUGAGAAAGCUUCUUUUCCCUUCUUCUCUCUCUCUCUCUAGGNCUCGGGCUACGGCCGAGGGUGAUGUCCCUUUGUAUAGAGAGACUACCAUUGUACCUAUUUUGGUAUACCCCGUGAUGUAUAUGUACUCUUUGGACAGUCACUAUAGUCAUGUUACUUUCUCUUUUAGUUGAGAUUUUGGUUUAUGUACUCUUUGCCCUCUUGUUGAUAGUCUUUGUGACUUGUACUUUGCUCUGAUAUCAGGAUAGAAUUUUCUAUGAUCUCCUUCCUAUCGACUUGCUUGUUUGUAGACGCCUUAUAUACUGCAGGUGUAUGGCGGGUCUGUUCACGUACCGGAUAUGCUUCCGCUGGUACCCGGGGGUGACAUGAGGCUAGCGCGUCCCCUGAUCUGAGUGCACAGUUAGCUGCCUUGACUGAGGUGACAAGGCGGCAGGGGGAGUUGUUGGAGAGGAUGUGUGAGAGGCUAGUUCCACCCCCGAGUUCAACACCGAGGGCACCAGAGGCAUCAGCUCCACCUCCUACUACUUCAGCAGCAGUACGAGUCGCAGCUGUACCCCCACCAGUGGAGGUUCCGGUGGCGCUAGUUGUGCCUUCUAGAGGGCCAGUGCAGAUGACUGAGGCCGAGCAGGAGUGGAUGACAGAGAGGUUUGCUCGUUUUCGCCGUUUUGACCCGCCGAUCUUUGAUGGCAGCUGCACAGAGGCGUGGAUUGUUGAGGGCUGGGUCAGUGCGCUGGAGAAGCUCUUUGAGGAUCUGUUCAAUCCAGAGAGGGAGCAGGUACAUCUUGGAGUUUACUGUUUGUCGGGUGAUGCUCACGCCUGGUGGAGGAGGGUGAAGCAAGACUAUGGGCUAGUGGCACUAGAGAUGCGGUGGGACGAGUUCUGUAGAAUGCUGUUUGGGAUGUAUUUUUCCAACAGUGUGAAACAGAAGCUCGAGGAGGACCUAAAGAAGAUCGAGCAGGGGGAUCGAACAGUUCAGGAGUACAUCCAGGAGUUCACUCGGCUCCUGAACUGCGUCUCUUUUGUAGCUCGAGACGAGGCACACCAGGUAUACCUUUUUGAGUAGGGUUUGAGGCCCGAGAUCUUCAGAUUUGUCCAUGCGCAGAGGUUGAGGACCUUGGAUGCGUCUAUGGAGCAGGCACUUUAGGUUGAGAGAGGUGAUGCUUUGAUCCGGGAGAGGACCCAGUUGCAGGGGCAGAGUUAGGACAGGAAGCGCCCAGCCACAGAUGACGGAGGACGGUCAAGCAGCAGGCGUCCGCCGAGGCCUACACGAGCACGUUCUCAGGGUCGUGGGUUUUCGGGGCAUCAGCGUUCUAGGGGACUUCGUCAGCAGAGGCAGUUUCAGGGGCCACAGUAGUGUGUGAUUUGUGUGGGACCACACGGGGCCCGGCAGUGUGAGCAGCGUGAGGGCCGGUGUUUUGGGUAUGGGCAGCCAGGACAUAUGAGGUCAGCGUGUUCCCGAGCAGCAUCACCAGCACCAUCGACAGCUUCAGCCCGACCAGCAACUCAGAAGUCGUAUGGAGCAGCACCGAGUUACCGCCAGGAGGAUAGGUCGUCUGUGCCGCGGCAGAGUGAGCGGCAACAGCAGGCUUCAAGUGGCAGGGUGUAUGUAGCCCAGGUGGAGGACUCUACAGAAGCCGACAGGGUGGUAGCAGGUAUCACUUUGAUUUCUGGCAUUAGAGGUCGGACUCUUUUUGAUACCGGAGCAUCUCAUUCUUUUGUUAGCCGAGUAUUUGCAUUAUUGCAUGGUCUAGAGUUAGAGACAUUAUCACAAGCACGAGAGGUGCAGAUCCCAGACCAUGUUUUGCAGGUUGUCGAGUGUUGCUAGUCGUGUUCGGUGCAGUUGGAUUCAUGGAUCAUGCCCGCAGACCUGUUGGUGUUAGGGCAGCUGCAGGACUUCAACGUUAUGCUCGGUAUGGAUUGGCUGGCGCGCUACUAUCGAUUGUGGAGUGAGGACGGUGACGUUCCGCGAGCCAGGCCAGGAGGAGUUCACUUUUAGAGGCUGCAGGAGUACGUUGUUCGCCACUUGGAUAUCUUCGGCGAGGGCUCGACAGAUGAUGAGCAGAGGAUGUGUUGCUUUUCUGGCCACAAUUGUAGAGGUACCUAUGGCGGCGCCGGGACUCGAGGAUAUCCCUGUAGUCUGCGAGUUUCCGAAUGUGUUUCCCCCGGAGUUGACGACUAUGCCGCCGGAGAGAGAGAUUGAGUUUGUAAUUGAUAUAGUUCCUGGAACUGCACCAAUCUCGAAUGUACCUUAUCGGAUGGCACCGGCUGAGCUUAGAGAGCUAAAGGCACAGCUUUAGGAUUUGAUGGAUAAGGGGUUUGUGAGACCCAUUGUGUCGCCUUGGGGAGCGCCGGUGUUAUUUGUAAAGAAAAUGAUGGUUCACUUAGGUUGUGCGUGGAUUACCGGAAGCCGAAUAAAGUGACCAUCAAGAACAAGUAUCCUUUGCCGCGCAUUGAUGAUUUGUUUGAUCAGCUGCAGGGAUCUUGUGUCUUCUCGAAGAUUGAUCUCCAGUCAGGUUACCACCAGUUGAGGGUGAGAGCCGAGGAUGUUCCUAAGACGGCUUUUCGGACUCGGUACGGGCAUUAUGAGUUCACAGUGAUGCCUUUUGGAUUGACGAAUGCCCCUGCCGCAUUCAUGGAACUGAUGAACAGAGUGUUCAAGCCGUUCUUGGAUAAAUUUGUAGUAGUCUUCAUCGAUGACAUUUUGAUAUACUCCCGGAGCGAUGUCGAGCGCGAGGCGCACUUGAGGAUUGUGCUACAGCUUCUGCGAGAGAAAAAGUUGUAUGCCAAGUUAAAGAAGUGCAAGUUCUGGUUACGAGAGGUUGCUUUCUUGGACCAUGUGAUUUCUGCAGAGGGAGUAGCAAUGGACCCGAAGAAGAUUGAUUCUAUUCGGGAUUGGCCCAGACCGACGACGGUGACUGAGGUGAGGAGUUUUCUGGGACUGGCAGGAUAUCACCGUCGGUUUGUGGAAGGUUUUGCGAAGCUUACCACACCCCUCACCCACUUGACGUGGAAGGGGAUUCGCUUUGUCUGGAGUGACGACUGUCAGAGAAGCUUUGAUCAGUUGAGACAGAGGUUGACGUCAGCUCCUAUCCUUGCCCUUCCUGUGAUGGGGGAAGGAUUUGUGAUCUAUAGUGAUGCAUCGCACAGUGGAGUGGGUUGUGUGCUGAUGCAGCAUGGUAGGAUAAUUGCUUAUGCUUAACGGUAGUUAAAGGAUUAUGAGAAAAAUUACCCUAUGCAUGACUUGGAGCUUGCCGCGGUAGUCUUUGCCUUGAAGCUGUGGCGGCAUUACUUGUAUGGUGAGCACUGUGAGAUUUUUACUGAUCACAAGAGUCUCAAGUAUCUGUUCACUCAAAAGGAAUUGAAUAUGAGGCAGCGUCGGUGGUUGGAGUUACUGAAGGACUAUGAUCUUAGUAUUCAGUAUCAUCCCGGCAAGGCGAAUGUAGUGGCAGAUGCGUUGAGCAGGAAGGUAGUGCAGAGUUGGAGUAUGUUGAUUACUCAGCAGAGGCCGUUGCUCAAGGAGUUGCAGCGGCUGAGAAUUGAGAUAGUGUCCCCUAGGUCUACUGCGAGACUGAUGUUUCUGGUUUUGCAGCCCACUCUAUUGGAUAGGAUCCGAGAGAAACAGAGUGGAGAUCCGUAUCUGUUGAGGAUUCGAGAGCAAUUAGACAGGGGACAGGCUGAGGGUUUUGCUGUGGACAGCUCGGGAGUACUACUGUACAGGGACCGACAGUGUGUGCCUGUGGAUUCAGGGAUCCGAGAGGAUAUUUUGAGAGAGGCUUAUUGUUCUUCUUAUAAGGUUCACCCAGGUGGAACCAAGAUGUAUAAGGACUUAAAGGUACAGUUUUGGUUGAAUGGAAUGAAAAGGGACAUUAGCAGGUGUAAGGAAGUGAAUUCUCGAAAUCCGAGGAUUGUACCUCAUCCAGGAUCGACUAACUGUCGAGAGUAUACCCUUUGUGGGAGUUGGAGAUGUCCAAAACACCAAAAAGUGCUUUGGAGUUGAGUCCGCGAGAGCAAAUAGGCAAAAUCUGGAUUCAGCAGAUUUUUGCUCUCGGGGACCGGUCCCUGGAGGGAAGGACCGAUCCCCGUAGCUGAUGGUCGCGGGGGAGGUUGAUGCGACCGGUCCCUGGCUGAGGGGACCGGUCCUCGUGCGCGACACCCGCGGGAGAAAGCCAAAAUUUGGCUAAGUCCUGAAGGUUCCCCGUUUGGAAACCGGUCUCUUAGGAGAGACCGGUUUCCCAGGGACCGGUCCCUCAGGUGAGGACCGGUUCCCGAACGCGAAAACUCCCCAGACAGCAGGGAGAGCUCUCGGGGACCGGUCUCCCCGAUCAGGGACCGGUUCCUCUGGGCGAAAACUGCUCAGUGAGGGCUGUGCAAUGGAUGAAAAGUUGAGGGGCUAAAGUGGAUUUUGUUACAAUAGAAGGGCUCAACAGCCCACUCCCCCUAUCAUUCUCUCAUUUCACCCUCUCUCUCUCUUUCUCUCUCUCUCUCUAAGAAAGAAAGAACAAAAGAGAAGGAGAAGAAGAAAGAGAAGAAGAAGAAGGAGGAGAAGAAGAAGAAGAAGGAGGAGAACAAGCUAGAGAGGGCUUGGAGCAUCUUCCUCUCUUUCUCUCCUUUCCAUUGGUGUAGCUCAAGAGGUAAGCUACAAACCCUAGCUUGUAGAACUUGGGGUUUUUGGGUUUUGAUGCUUUGGAAUGGGUCAAAUGGACCCUAAACUUGCUUCUAAAUAGAUCAAUCCCAAGAAUCUAGGGAUUUAUUGGUGGUUUGCUAUAGGUGCAAACCUAGGGCUCCAAAAUGGGGUUUUUGUGAAAGUAUGAGAUUGAUCUCAUUUGAAGCCCUGGAAAUCCUAUUGGUAGGUUACAAAACGUGGGGGCGAAGUCGAUUUGCAUUCGGCGAGCAGGCGUGAAGUUCUCGGCAAAAUAGGGCCGGGAUAGCUUGGAUUUGGGCAAAAAAGGCUAAAGCCUUUUGGUAGCGUUCGCCGCGGACCAUUUAUUAAGCCUCGACAUCGGUAAAAGGUGGGGGGUGCUAUCCCGAAGCUUUCGAACUCCUUUCUAUGUCUUAGAUUGCAUUUAAUCUCAUCUCUUCAUGUUCCAUUGUAGGAUUGCAUAGUAGCUCCGUUCCUUAUGCUUUCUAAUUGAUAACCUAGUGUACUUGGAACGCUUGGUGACUUAGAUAGGUGAGGAUUGGGUUGGAACGUGGAUCCUAUGAUGCAAGAGAAAAGAGAUGAACCCGAUGGGGGUGUUGAUGACAUAGAAAGUAGUAUUAAUGUCAAAGAACUAACGAGUGGCAUCCAAGCGUUAAAUGAUGACGAGUGGCAUUAAUGUAGUGUAAAUAACACUAGAGGUUUGAGAACCUAGGGAUAGGUGGAUCCCUUAGAAAAUGCCUUGUGGACAAGAACUUAGUAAACCUAAGUAACCUCACAUGGAGAGGUCGUCGAUGAGUCGAUUGAGACAGUGACCCUAGUUGUAGGGCAUCCUCACUUGGAGAGGAUUUGAUUGAGUUGUGGACCCUAGUGGUAGUGCUCCCUCACUUGGAGAGGAUUUGAUUGGGUAUUGACCCUAGAUGUAGGGCAUCCUCACUUGGAGAGGAUAGAUCUAGCUCACAGCCUGCGUUUGGGAUGGUAUAGCCAUCCAAUCCCCACAUGGAGGGGAUUGUCGUCGAGUACUCCGGAGUGUCGCGCGACUAGGACCACUUGGAGGUCUGGACCACAUUGAGGUCCGCAGAUGGUCCCGGGCUUGGGUGCACUUGGAGCUCCCUCCCUACUUUGGGAUUGAAGGGUGAGUUAUAGGCGAGCCCUAGGGCCUCUCCACAGAUUGGGUAAAUGGAAAGUUAAAGGUUUAAUAAUGUCAUUGAACAUUGCUAUUCGAACAUGGAUCGAAUUCGUUAGCAUGGUAGCAAAUCUUUAUUAUAUGAUGCAUACAUUCAUAUUCAUGAUUAUGGGCAUAGUAGCAUAGUUUUCCUACUAUCGCAUUUACAGUUUUCAGAUACAUAUCUAUCUAUCUAUCUGUUGUUACUUGUGCCCACUUGGACCUAUUGGGGAGAUCGGCAGAGUCGGCGGCCGAGCCCACUGGGAACUAUGGAAGAUAGUUCUCACCCCACUCUAAUUCCAGUGGUAGGUACAGGACUGCCCAGGGACGACCGCGGCAAGGGCAUCGCACCAGAUCAGUGAGACCGUGGUAGUAUAGCAGCUUUCCUUUUUGCAUUAGCACACCUAUGUAUUGAGAGAGAUUCAUUGUAGGUGAGGAUUUGGAGAGCUAUGUAUUUUGGAUGAAAAAUGUAUUCGUUUAAAGAAAAUGAAAAUGAGGGAACUAUUGUAAUAGUUAGUAAAGUACUCUCUUUAUUUCACAUGCUUUAUCUUGUGGAUUGCUUGCUCUUUGUAUUGUUGGCACUGUUUGUGCCCUUGUGAAUGUGUAUAUUUAGAAUUUAAUUUUCUGGGUAAAUUCUUGUACACAUUCCUGUUGUUGAGCCUUGGGCGGACAGAGGAGGUGCUGUCCGUUCGGCGGCCCGCCGCCGCUGCCGAACCGUGCCAAAUUGGUAGUGGUUUCGGGGCGGGACGUGACAGCAGGUAUGUGGCUAAGUGUUUCACUUGCCAACAGGUAAAGGCCAAGCAUCAAGUGCCUGCUGGCAAGCUUCAGAAUCUGCUAGUCCCCGAGUGGAAGUGGGAGCAGAUUCCCAUGGACUUUGUUGUGGGAUUGUCUAGUGCACAGGGUGGUUUUGAUGCGAUUUGGGUGAUAGUGGACAGACUGACCAAGUCUGCUCACUUCCUACCGGUUCAGACCACCUGGUCCAGAGAGUGGCUCGCGCAGCUAUACCUGGAUGAGAUUCUCAGGCUACACGGCGUGCCAGUGUCGAUUGUAUCAGACAGAGACCCUAGGUUUGUGUCCCAGUUUUGGAGGAGUCUUCAGACAGCCUUGGGCACUCAGCUACAUUUCAGCACGGCGUUCCACCUACAGACAGAUGGUCAGUCAGAGAGGACCAUUUAGACUCUAGAGGAUAUGCUGAGGGCAUGCGUCCUGGAUUUUGGAGGAGGGUGGUAUUGACAUUUCAGACUGGUUGAGUUUGCGUACAACAACAGCUAUCAAAUGAGUAUCCAGAUGGCUCCGUUUGAGGCGUUGUAUGGACGCAGAUGUCGAUCCCCUUUAUUUUGGAGCGAUGUGGGUUAGAGGAGGACACUAGGGCCUGAGAUCUUGCUAGAGGCUGAGGAAAAUGUGAGAGUUGUUCGACGUCACCUUUUAACAGCUCAGAGCCGCCAGAAGAGCUAUGCUGAUAUCCGGAAGCGAGACUUAGAGUUUCAGGUUGGAGAUCAUGUAUUUCUCAAAGUCUCGCCGUCUAGAGGGAUUCGCCGAUUUGGAGUACGUGGAAAGCUUAGUCCACGUUUCGUUGGCCCUUUUGAGGUAUUGGGACGAGUGGUACUAGUUGCAUACGGGAUUGCUCUACCCCCGCGACUAGCUCGCAUUCACGAUGUCUUCCACGUCUCAGCAUUGAGGAGAUAUGUUUUCGAUCCUUCUCACGUGAUUGACUUCACUCCACUUGACAUUAGCGAGGAUCUAGGAUACGAGGAGCGACCGUUGCGGAUUCUUGCUCGGGAGUCGAAAGAAUUGCACAACCGGGUCAUCCCGUAUGUAAAGGUGUAGUGGAGUAAUCACGAGGAGCGGGAGGCGACUUCGGAGCCUGAGGCGGUGAUGAGGGAGACCUAUUCCUAUCUGUUCGAUGCCUAGAGCUGAGGUAUGUUUAAGUUUCGAGGACAAAACUUUUCGUAGUGGGGGAGGAUGUGGUAUCCCUGGUGUUCAUCAGUUGAGGCUUACCGACAGCUUUGGCGAGUGUCGGGACAAGUCCGAGCCGCGUUGGUGUGAAAUACACGCAAAACGGACUCAGCAGGGAUGCGAGAGCAGGACUUGGCAUUGGAAUAUGCAAACAACAGAUUUUCUACUUGUUGUACCGGUAGAACCAUCAAGGCGUACUGGUAAACUUUCUGUACCGGUACAACAUCGGGGGUGUACCGGUACACUUCGACAGAUUUUGUGCAGCUGCUCUCGGGUUGCCAUUUGUACCGGUACACUUGCUCGUGUACCGGUACACCAGGGUAGGUGAGAUGGCAUUUUGGUAAUUUCUAACCUCAUUUGUGUCACCCACUCCUCUCCACCGCUUAUAUGUACGUAGAGGGUUAGAGAGAGAUGGAUUUUUACUGCUUUCCUCCUCUCUUUCCCUAGCAUCGACCGAACAAGAAAGAGCUCGGGUGGAGUUGCCGUGGAGCUCGGACCGACGUCGACGUCGCGCCGCGGUGCCGUUCGAGCGGGUGUUUGUCGUCGUAGCAUCGCGAGGAGGCCGGGCGAGGGUGCGAUUCCGCCGUUCUCGACGUCGUGCCGGAUUGGAUUUAGCGUUCGAGGUUGGUUAAUCAUCGGUUUGUCUUCUAAGUAUAUAAAUAUGGUCGGCAUGUGUAGUUCUAGCUUGUUGCAUAUCCGGUUUGCUCAAUUCAUGGAGUUUAGACAUAUGUAUAUGUAGAAUAUGAAUUUGGAGCUUAAUGUUGUGACUAGAUAUUGACACAUGUUGGACUUAGAUUUGAGAAAACCGCAAAUAUAACUUGUCAUAUGCUUACACUACCUGCUUUAGCUUUAGGAGCCGUUAUCAUUUUGUAUCGCCGCAGUAUCGGUGUGGUGGAUACCCCAGGUAGUAUAGUGUACUGUUACGCUCGUGCUAGGAUGCUGAGCCUAUUUUUACAGUAGCUUUCAGACUGUUCCGGACUGUUGGGUGCCGUUGGGACUUACGGUGUUCCCGGAUUGCCGUUUUGGCAUUAGAUUGUGCUGAGGGCACGUGACUGUUUGGUUGGUAGACCAGUUAGACCCAGUGUACUUGACUAUAGCCUGCGAGAGCCUGAUUGAGCUCGACAGAGAUACGCUUGCAUACUCGGUUGGGUAGCGCCCGAGUGCCACUCCGGAGUUGGGCCUAGUGCUGUUGUGUUGGUGUCGUUGUGUCCUCAUUGGACUUGCUCUCCACUAACUACCCUGCGGGGGUGGUUGUUAGUGUUGCUUCGGCAGGCGGGACGGGUGUAUCACAGUCCCUGGAUAGAUUGGGUCAGCAUUGAUAUUUUUUACUACAGAUGAUUAGAGCAUGAUAGUGUCAUGAUAUUUAGCUGUAGAUGUUUUUCCAGCUUUCCUACUAUCCCAGCUCCUUUCUGUAGACUUAGUGGGUGGACCGAUGAUUGUUGAGGGCGGCACCCACUGAGAACUACUUGUUUUUACAGUAGUUCUCACACCUAGUUGUUACCCCUCUUUUGCAAUGCUUGCUGUUCCGGUUGCUGCUUCCUCUGAGACCGAUCGUGGCAAGGCGUUGUCGGUUAGUGCCCUUUCUAGUUGCGGCAGUUCGAGAGGUACCAGAUUCAGGUAGUGGUUUUGUUUCCUUUGCAGUUCAUGUACAUACAGCUUUCGUAACUCGCCGGAGCGAGUCUUUUGUAUCAGGAUAUUUCGCAUGUAUAUAGAACCGGCUUUCGUUUACCAGCUUUAUUUAAGCAGCUCUAUACUACUAUUUGUAGUAUUGUAUGUUUAUACAGGUACGGCUAUCGCUUCGUAUACAGAAAAAAUUUCUUUGUACAUGGCGGAUUUGUCGGCGUGCCCGGGGAACGAGACAUCUGGGGCGUGACAGGCAUAGUAUUCACUAUGAGCGACACAUGUGUCUAAGAAACUAAUUUUACAAUUUUCAAUAUAAUGUGUAUAUAAAUGCACGGUUUCAGAGCCUUCCGCGGCGGGGGAGGCUAGGGUUCGUGGCAAGGGGUUAGCGACUAGCUAGACCCUCCUCGAUGUUGCUGUAGAUGGAUCCGUAGAAUUCCUUCUUUCAUUUUAGUUCAAGAAUGUAUAAUUGUACUUUAUUUGAGAUUUCGAGUAUUCAUGUUGUACCCCUUGAUUAGAUUAUUGUAAUCUUGAGAUGUAUUAGUUUUGGAAUUUUGUAUCUAGUAGAUUUAAGAUCUUGUUCUGACUACAAUGUUUAGAAAUGUUUUACACUUCUUCCUUUAUGAUUGUUGUUGUAAGAUACUAGAUCCUCGGUACGUGCGAAUCCGAACUUUAGUUGGAAUUGACCAAAGUGCGGAGUUGUUAGCUUCGAAAUGCUUCGGAAGAGCCCGAACGCGUUGAAACGGCUUUUAGAGGAUUGUAGGACCUUGGUGAGCACUUGAGGUGUGAAGCUAGAAUUUUUCGUAGUUGAAGUGCUUACGGGGUCCGGACCCUAUGAAGGGUUCGGAUCCCAUAGCCGAAAACUGCCCAACCCGGGUAGUGAGCAACUUGCAUUGUUUGAGGGGUUUUAUGCAAUUUGGCCAUGAGUUGAGUGUAUAUAAGAGGUUAGGGCUUAUUUCUUCUCAUCUCUCUCACACAUGCAACCCAAGUGACCUCCCUCUCUCUGUAGCACACUGCAAAUUGUGAGGUUCGAGUGCUUGAUGUGUACUCCGAACUUUUUCACACUUGGUGGAAGGCCGUAGAUGGUAUUCUGGCCUAAAAGUUCGAUCUCUAGAGUUUUGGCGAGUCCUGAGAGUUUUCACUCUCGGGGAUCGGUCCCUGAUAUGAGAGACCGGUCCCCUCAGAACAGUGCUGCGGCAGGGCUUGAGGCAACCGGUCCCUGGCUGGGAGAAACCGGUUCCCGAACGCGUGUUUUGCGUGAAGAGUCCGAGAGAUCGGUUCCUGGCGGGGAGAGACCAGUUCCCGAAUGUUGGUUUUGCGGGACGAACUGAGAGACCGGUCCCAGGUGUCGGGGAGAUCGGUCCCUCAACGCGAAAACUGCCCAGACCGGGUAAUGCACAGGGUAAUUCUUUGAGGGGCUUAUAUGGAUUUUGUUGCUCCUAAGGGCCUUAAGGCCAUUUCCACCCUCUCACUCUCUCAUUUCUCACCCUCCUUACACUUCUAGAGAGAGAAGAAGGAGGAGAAGAAGAAGAAGAAAUUGGAGGAGAGCAAGAUCUUGAGGCUUGGAGCAUCUUCCGCUCCCUUUUGCUCACAAUUGGAGGCUUGGGGCUUAGGCUAGGAGCUCAAUAGAGGAUCAAUCUACAACCCUAGAGCAUUUGGAGCUUGGUUUGGAUCUCCUUUUAAGGUUAGUUGCUUAUUUCUCCCAUCUAGACCUAUUUUUGGUAGAUUUUGGGAGAUGAAACCCUAGAUUUGAAUUUUAGGGUUUAUUUUGGGAAUUUUUGAUUUGAGGGCUUGGAGACCUAAUUGAUCGGUUUAGAACCUUCCUCUAGGUUGGGUUGGAAAGGUUAUUGCUCUCUUUGGAAGCUUGGGAAGGAAUUUCAUCACAAGAGGUGAGUUAUGCCCUCUAUGCUUAGAUGGUUAAGAUUAAGCUUUCCGAUGUUCGUUUCGAUUGUGUAACUCUUGUUCCUACAUCUUUAGUGUGCUACGAGACUUGUGGACACCUCCGUUCGGCGAAACGAAGUGUUUUGAUUCUUGGUGGGUUUCACUUCAUAAAAUUGGGGCAAAAUGGCCCCUAUGCAUUACAUACUCGUUGUAAAGUCUGUUUGAAUGUAAAUUCCUGCUAAAUAGGAUUUAUAAGAAUUUUAGAAUCCUUGAAAUGCAUGUGCUAUGUGUAAGAUGAAUAUCACUCUAUAUAGUAGAGCUAUAUGUGUAGACUGCAUGCAUGUGAAAGGUGUGCAUCUUUUCAAGUUGAGAACAUGUCUCUUAUGCUAGAAAUGGUUAGAAUUAUGUAUUCAUGAACAUAAUUAUCAUGCUUGGACUCGUUGAACAAAAGUGUUAUAAAGGGGCACUUGAAACUAAUAAACUAUGAAAAUGCAACAUAGAGACAUAGUGAUAGGCCAUUGGAUAUCGACUAUAUUCCAUGUUAGAGACAUGAUGACAUAGUGAUAGGCCUUUGUGACAUUCGAUAUAUUCCAUGUUCUUAGGCAUGAGGACUUGAGACUUGAGACUUGAGACAGACUUAUACACAUGCUUGCCAUUGUGCUCAUUCACACAUGCUUGUGAGGGUCGCUCCCUACAAGCCGGCACUCCGGAGUUAACCGUCGCGAUACAUAUUCGUCGUGCGGAAUUGGGCGCCGAAGUGGAUUGCCGUGGGAAAGGCUCAUCCCUAAGAGUGGGGAUGUUGACUACCAUGGAGACAUUAGGCACGGCACCGGCCAGACAGCCUACGGGUGGGUCUUACAGGCCAGACAGCCUUCGGGUAGGUCUUCAUGCUAGACAGCCUUCGGGUGGGUCUUAUAAGAUUAAACUUUUAACAGUUAAGUGACAAGUGGACAUUGACUAGAAUAAUAAAUAAUGACAUCGUUACUAUUUGCAUCAAGGACAUCGUGUUGGUUGCAUACUCAUGCUUAUACAGGUUAAUCACAUUCAUGACCAUACUCGUUGUAGUUGCUUUAUUUCUCAUGCAGUUCAUACUAAGUAGAGAUAUCAUGGUAGAAUAGUACUCAUGGUUCCAUACUUGUUCAUUAUUUAGCUUUCGUUUAUACUUGUACUGACCCUCUUUUGUAGCUUUUGGGCCUAGUGGCGCAUUUCACUGAAGUCAGUAAUUGCCCACUGGGAACUAUUAUUUAAUAGUUCUCACGCCCUCUGUUUUAUGAUUUUAUUUCAGAGCCUUCGGUACCGGCGGAGGCACAGCAUCGCGGCAAAGAAGUCACGUAGCUAGUUAGCGGGGAGCUACUUUUGAGCUUAGGUGGUUUACUCUUUCUUUUAUUGUAUUAAAGAGUAAGAGAGACUUUGAGUACCAUGUGUAGAGACCACCUGUGUAUUUGUUUGGCUUUUGUUUUGGGAUUCUUAUUGUAUUACUUUGUGUUUCUUCUAGUGAAUUUUGGUAUAUGGUUCGUUCCCUCUUUUGUAGCAACUAGAUAUACUUGCUCUGAUACUCCUAGUUGUUCCCUUUUUAUUGCUUCAUUUAUCGCUUUAUUUAGACGACUUGUAUGUUUUAGACAUAUGGCGGGUCUCGGCACGCAUCGGGCGGGCUUCCGCUCGGUCCCGGGGCGUGACAGAUUAGUUUGAUAUCAGAGCCUAGGGUUGAGUCUUAGUGGACCUAACAAACCUUAGGUCGGUUGGACUAUAGGAAAUAGGCUCGUGAGAGACGAGGUCUAUUUGACUUGUAAGCGAAAGUAUCGUGAUUCGGUAUCUUGAUAACUCUAGAAAGUGGAGUUAAAUUGAAGUGUACAGCUCCUAACUUUGCGGAGGGUUACGUUGGCAGUCGACAACGUAACAUCGGUAGUUAGUAGUGAUGCACACUUCAUUACUUUCGCAUGAUUUGGGGCAUUACCUUCUUGAGUGGGGAUUCGAUGGCGUGAGUUUACCAACUUACGCUUUUAUGAUAUUGUAGUGUGAUGCCGAUUACACACUCUCAAUCUGCCGAAGCGGAUAACGCGGCAAAUCUGGAGGAGGUUGAGACUUCCGCUACCGCCGGAUCCGGCGAGGUCCGAGAGUUGAGAGGCUAGCUUGCGGCUCUCACUGAUAUGGUGGCACAGCAGACUGAGGCGGCUCGCCGACAGGAGGCGCGGAUGAAGCAUCUGGAGGAUCUCCUACUGCAGCAGGCGGAGGCUCGGGAGGCUCAGGUUCCUACACCACCCGCGCCAGUGGAGGUAGUUGCACCCCGAGGAUCGUCCCCUACACUCGACACAUCUCGGACGAUGCCUGCGGUAGCGCCCCGGGAGGAGGUGAUUGCGGCACCACCUGUGCAGAGGCCUCCGGUUGGAGCGAUUUUCCCCGUGAUAGCCGAGGGAGCAGAGCAGGACAGGCUGAUGGAGCGCCUCAAUGAGUUCAGAAGGUGCAGCCCCAGGAUUUUCAACGAAGAGAGGGUCGACCACUGGAUUGUGGAAAAGUGGUUGAUGCAUAUGGAGAAGCUCUUCCCGGACAUCUUCGUGGAGAAGAAAGAUCGAGUUUGGCUCGCCACUCACCAUCUGGACGGUGAGGCUUAUCGCUGGUGGUUGGAUCUUCAGGAGAACCCCAAUACCGACUUUGCGGCUAUUACAUGGAAGAAGUUCAAGGAGCUUCUACUGGCGCACUACUUCCCGCUGAGCGUCAAGAGGAAGAUGGAGCAGGAUCUGCACAACUUGCACCAAGGUGAUCGGACUGUGGCCGAGUACGAGUGGGAGUUUUUUCGGCUUCUUCACUGCGUGCCUUUCGUCGUGCGGGACGACGAGGACAAGGCCCGCAUCUUCGAGCGAGCGUUGCGAUCGUCGAUCUUCCGGUUUGUGCAAUCCUCUAACCUCCAAACCUACCGGGAGGUGGUGGAUCGCGUGCUCAUAGUGGAGAGCGGCGCGGCCGACGUUCAGGAGCGACGAGAGGCGAUGGACAAAGGUAAGGCCAAGAGGCCUGCAGCAGAGGGUGCGAGCCAGACGCACUCUAGGAGGCCGCCGAAGCAUCCUAGGAGCCAGCAACGAGGACGCGGCUCAGCGGCGCAUCGAGGAGGACCUGAUCGUCGCCGGCCCUCCAAGUGUGUGAUUUGCUGUGGCCCUCAUCACCCACCGCAGUGUUUGCAGCGGGUGGGCAGGUGCUACUAGUGUGGCCAGCAGGGCCACAUCCGUACUGAGUGCCCGAGAGGUUCUUCACCGGCACCGUCGACUGCAUCGGCACCGGCUCUACCAGCCGUCAGCCACGGGACUCCAUUGACACAGUACCAGCCUGGGCGGCCACCCGUCCAGCGUCAGAGCGAGGGAUCUCGACAGGCCCUGAGUGGGCGUUUGUAUGCCGCUCAGACUAAGGAGGCGGUAGCAGCCGAGGAUGUGGUUGCAGAUAUCAUUUUACUUGAUGGCAUUAGAGUUCGUGCUUUAUUUGAUACCGGUGCAUCGCAUUCAUUUAUAGAUCGGCUGUUUGCCGAGUUGCAUGUCAUCCCUUUGGUUUUUUUGUUGCAUCCGGGACUUGUUGUAGUACUCGACCAGCUAGUUUCUUGCUAAGCCUAAGGGCAGUCCCUCCUGACCUUAACACACUCUGGAUAUUAGAGAGUAUUGCCCUAGUUGCCCUAUUCGGGUAGGAGAUUGGAUCAUGCCCGUAGAUUUGCUAGCUCUGCGCAAGCUAGGAAAUUUCGAUGUGGUCUUGGAUAUGGAUUGGCUAACCAAGUAUUAUGUCAUGAUUGAUUGUAAGAAUUGCACGGUUACAUUUAGAGAACCGGGACAGACUGAGGUUGUGUUUAGAGGAUGCCGGAGUUCGCUUUUUGCGAUGUCAAUCAGCUCGUCUCGAGCUAGGCAGCUGAUCAGCCGAGGAUGUGUAGCCUACUUGGCUAGUGUUGUGUUAAGGGGCGAGGAUGACACCCCUAGGAUUGAGGAUAUCCCGAUGGUACGGGAGUUCCAGGACGUGUUUCCAGCUGAGCUACCGGGUAUGCCACCCGAUAGGGAGAUCGAGUUUGUGGUAGAUCUCGUCCCUGGGACUACUCCAAUCUCGAAGGCACCCUAUAGGAUGGCACAUAAGCAGAAAACAUUCUAAGCAGAAACAAGCAAACCAUAUUAGCAAACGAUUUUCCGUCUUGGAUGGUAUCAAGCAGUUGACUAACUUUUGAGACUUGUAACUUUUUUUUUCCAUUCAUUCUUUAUAACUUUGUCCUUUCAUUCUGAGAGGUGACUGGGUAGAAACCUAGUUGCCACAUUAUAUACUUGCAUAUUGGAAGAUGAUAUGGCUGUGCUUGGCAUGUGAGAAUGAGAAUUCCUAAAGAUCAGUAGCUUGAACCCAGCAUCUAGACCUUCAAGGCCCUUACAUUAUGAUUUUUGAGCUAUACAAUCAUGUCAGAACCUGUGAAUCCUUGGGAAUGCCAGUAAUAAAUUGGGGUUAUGCAUUGUCACGCCCUGGAUUCAGCGGAAGCUCACUAGUCGCGUGCACAGACCCGCCGUGUACACCACAACUCAAGUAUACACCAGGCGCCUACAAUCAAUAUAGUAAAAGCAUUUGCUUUUAACAAGGUAAUCAGAACAAAACUUAAAAGUUUAAACUUAUACAACUCAACAUCUUAUUACAACAGGUAAGAACAACUAUAAUUUACAUAAUCUCACUAUAAAAUACAGUACUGAACUAGAAAAGCUGAAGUGGUUCCAUCUAUCUAACAUCGAGGAAGCUCUAGCUAGCCGCUGACCCCUCGCCAAGAACCCUAGCCUUUCCCGCUGUGGAAGGCUCUGUAAAAACAAUAACAAAGAGGGUGUGAGAACUAUUAAACAAUAGUUCCCAGUGGAUAAGUCGCCGGGAGUGGCGAAGUACACCACUAGGUCAACUGUGGCAAGAGUAAACAGUAGUAAAUAAGCAAGUAAAUACAACAGGUAUUGAAAUAAAUCAAUCAUGCUAUUUACUCAAAAUAAAUAUAUAAACGCACCAAUCAACAGGUUGUAGGUACUCGUUUAUCAUGAUAUGUUCUAUUAUUCAUAUUAGUUGACAAUUUAACUAGCCAUAUGCCCAAUGGUAUGUAAGACAAUUCAUUAUUGCUGAAAUAACUGAUGAUAUCAUGGAAAUACUUCCUACACCAGUAAAAGUGUAACACAUUGUCACUAUGUCACUAUCGUCAAGAUGUCAACUUUCUAGCUUGUUCAUCAAUAAGUUCACUUGUCAUUUAACUACUCGAUGUUUAAAUCUUGUAAGACCCACCCAAAGGCUGUCUGGCAUGAAGACCCACCCGAAGGCUGUCUGGCAUGAAGACCCACCUGAAGGCUGUCUGACAUGUGCUUGACCUAAUGGCCCCGUGGCAGUUAACACUACCCACGGCAAUCUAUUUUGGCGCUCACUUCGUACAUAAAGGAGCAAUCUGUCGCUAAGCCACUCUUGAGUGCUGGCUCGGGGGGCGUGACCCCCACAAGCAUGUGCAAAAGAGCAUAAUGGCAUGCAAGCUGUAAUCCAUAGCACAAGUAUCACAACGUCAUCAUGUCUCUGACAAGUGAACUUGUGGUUCUCUAAGAUUAUGUCCAAUGACUUGUGGCGCAUAUUCUAUAGUUCAACAUCAUCCUUUACUACUUGGGGUAAAUAAUAACAUGCUAUUACUUUUACUUGAUCAUACAAGUAAAUCAUUACAUCCAUUUCUAGUCAUUUACUAGACUAUCUUUAACAAAAUAACAGUCAUGUUAUAUUACAAUGCCCAAUUCCAAUUGCUAACUAAAUCAUAUAUAUAUAUAUAUAUAUAUAUAUAUAUAUACAUAUAUUAUUAUUAUAUUAUAUAUAUAAUAUAUAUCUACCAAACAAUGCUAUCACUAUUUGGUGAAAACAAUGACCAUUUGAUAACACACGUAUGCGUAGCAUUCUCAAUUGUACUCUUGGCAUGAUUUCAUAAAAUUACAUAAGCAGGUACUUCACUAUACUUGAUAUGCUAAGAGUUCUAUUAACCUGUCUACAACCUAAACUGUAGAAAUUUAACUCAAAGAUACAUCAUUCACUUUAUUGUCCAACUAACCAAAAGUCAUGUUCUAGGCGUUACCGCAAUCCCGUAUUGAAUGAUGUUCUACUCAAAUUGUUCACACAAUUAUACGAAGAAUGUCUGUAAUAUAUCGAAAAUUCGAAAAAUAAAUAUCGAACUUUAGUCAAAUUGACCAAAGUACGAGGACGGUACACUUCGAAAAGUCCGAAGGUGCUAAAAUGAUCGAAAGUGAGUUGUGGAAGGUUUUCGAGAGCUAAAGAAUCAAAUUCUGCAAAACUGCAGAUUUUCAGCUCUCGGGGACCGGUCCCUAAAGGGAGAGACCGGUCCCCGAACACGUAUGAAAUGAGACAGCCGAAAAAUCGGCUAAGUCCUGGAAGGAUAGCUCUCGGGAACCGGUCUCUGCCUGAGAGACCGGUCCCCCAGAGACCGGUCCCAUAAGGAGAGACCGGUUGCACUGCGUGCAGCAGCUCUGGCUGCGCAGGGUGGACGUUCGGGAACCGGUCCCUGCUCGGGGAGACCGGUCUCUGCCUGCGCGGAAUGCCCAGUUCGGGCAGUGUAUUAAAGUGAAAGUUGAGGGGUUUAUUUGCAUUUUGGCAACCCAUUGAGCUAUGUUAGGGGGGCUGAGGGGUUUUUCUCUCAUUUCUCACCCUCUCACACUCUCUUCUCUCCCUCUCUCUCUCUAGAAGACAAAGGAGAAGAAGAAGAAAGGAAGAAAAGAAGGAAAAGAAGGAGAAGAAAGUGAAGAAGAAGAUCAAGGAGCAAAGGAGCCUCAUCUUCUUCCUCUCUAGGGCAAGAAAGGAAAGCUUACAAGGUAAGCUUUGAUCUAUAUUGUAGAAAAACCCUAGAAUGAGUUUUGAAUAACCUAGAAAUGAGUUUUAAAGGGAUAUUUGAAGAGUUUUGAAGCUUUCUUUUGCUUCUUUAGAGAUCAAGUCCAUGGUUGAGCUCAAGGUGAGCUUCAACCCACCUCUAAUGGUGAAAUCCAAACUAGGGUUUGGAGUGAGUUAAGAAUGGUUCUUAUGGACUAAUUAGAGUGUAAUGAAGCUACUUUUGCUUCUCUUUGAGAUCAAACCCUAGGUUUGAUACAUGUGUUGGAGCUAGGGCACCAAAUUGGGGCUUUUGCUCAUGAGGAUUGCUAAGUGCAAUUGACCCUCUAAAAACCUAAUUGGGGGUAUUUCCGACGCGUUGGUGCGCUCGGAAUAGCAUUUCGAAAAGUGUAUGAAAGGUUAUGGGCAAAAUGGCCUAAUAAGGGUUCGUUUUGCCGCAGGUAAAGAACGAAGCAUCUAAAAAUCCCAAGGAAAAUCAUCGGAGCACCUUUGGAAGCCUACGAGGUGGGUGGUGCUUCUCAAACUCAUUGAAAUUCUCUCUAUGCCUAAUGUGUCAUUCUUUGAGCAUAUGUUAUAUGCAUUGUUGCAUGCAUUUUAGGGUAAAGUAAUGAAAGGAAUGUAAUGAUGCAUGAUUGUGAGUACAACUUGCAUAAUGUGAUGGUUAAGAACCUUAUGAAAGUUAAAACCCUAUAUGUAUGCAUGAGAGAAAAGUGAGCACCCAAAGUGAGCAAAAGAACAGAGUGGCACAAUGACAUAGAUCGAGUGGCAUUCGAUAAAGCUAAUGUGAAAUGACACUAGAGUUAGUGUGAUGUAAAGAAUUAAAGUGAUGUAAAGAAUGAUGAAAAUGACGACGAGUAAAGCUAAAGUAAAGUGGGCAAUAAGAACAAGAAUGCUAGAGUUAGCAAAAGUAAAAGAAAUGCAAAGAACAAUGAUUGCUAGAGUUAGCAAGAGUAAUGAGAAUGUAAAGAAUGUGAUUGCAUGAGUUUGCAACAUAAAGUGAUGUAAAGAACACUAGAGCUAGUGUAAAGUCAAGAUUGAACUUAUAAUCCUUUGAGUUAAGGAUAUGAUCAUACUUGCUAUUGAGUUCCGUGCUCGAGGGCGGUCGCUCCCCCUCGGGCGAUGCGCUCCGGAGUUAUGCAUCCGGGUUGGAGUAGACCCGUAAGGACGGUCCUAGCUGGUGAGUACCUGCGAUGAUGGACUUAACGUGAGGCAAGUUAAUGUGGCGAAACCCCCGGGUUAGCCUUAAUGAUUAAAGAGCAAAGAACAAAGAAUAAAGAACAAAGAGUAAAGUGAAAAGAACUAAAGAACAUGCAUAAUCUGCAUCUAUUAAUGUUGAGCAUAUUCCUUGCUUUUGUUCAGGCAUAUUAGCAUCAUGUUAUAGAUUGGUUACCAUAUUUCAGCUUAUCCUUUCUAUUAUGCCUGAGUUAGUCCUAGUGGGAAAGUCGGUGAUGUUGAGGCCGAACCCACUGGGAACUUUGUUGUAGUUCUCACCCCACUAUUUCCACAGAGCCGGGACCGAGCGAGCCGGCGAGCGACCGAGGUAAAGGUAUCGCGCCUUAGUCAGAGGCCACCAGAGUUGGGUUACAUUUUGUUAGUAGACACCCUUUUAUCAUCUUUUGUACUUGAUGAUUAGUGAUGUAAAGAAAAGAAUGCAAAGCUUAUUUUGAGGUAAAUGUGUUGUAAGAAAGAAAUGAUGAGAUUAUGUAAGAACAGCAAAGAAUCUUAAAUGUAAAAGAUGGAUGCAAUGUAUAUGAUCUAAAAUGAAUCAUAUUACUUGUGAAUGUUUAGUUUUCCUUUCUUUCACUGAUGGCUAUUGCUUACCCUCGCGUAAGCCGUUUGUGUAUGUUUCCGCUAGUGCUUUUCUCUAUUGAUGAAAAUGUACAUGUGAUGAGCCUUGGGCGGAUAGGGGAAACUCUGUCCGUCCGGCGUCUGUUUGACGUGCUCGGGUCGGGCCAAGUUGGCAGCGGUCCCGGGGCGUGACAAUGUCAAUACAUGUUAACCAAGCAAGCAGUUAUAUAAUCCAGGCAAUUUCAUAACCCUUCCUCUGCCAUAUAGAUGUUCCCUUAUGUAUGAACUAAUAUGCAUUUGAUGCAUGUUUCAGUUUACUCAAAUAUCCAUAUCUACAAGUGAACAUGCCACUAUUCCAAUUCAUAAUGUCAAAGAAGAUAUAGAGGGAAUUCACCCAUUUCGGGAAGGUCCAACCCACCAGUUAAUCGACGACUUUCGUUAAUUCUGCAACCGAGAGCAAUCCAAAUUCUCCAAGUUCCCUAAUACACAUUCUAAAAUCAGCUUGAAGUUGAAUUCAAACUUUCACAUAUAACCCUCAUGUAAGCAUCGAAUUUGGGCGAGAAUCUUACCUAACAUGUAUCUAAGCUCAAUUCCCCUCUUUAGUUCAGUUUAGAACAUCAAAACCAGUCUCCGCAAGCUCCCAAAGCUUAGCCAAAAAGGUCUCAUACCCUGCUGAAAUUCUGUUGUGAACAAUAUCAAAACUGCAUUAAUAUCACUACCUACACAUCCAACUCGAAAGGAGUUAGGUUACUCACCUUGUACAGCUUUAGCUGAAGUUAAAGCACACUAAACCAGUCCAGCUGAUCUCAAAGGAGCAAGAAACAAGCUCAAUUCACUACUAUAGUAUCAAUUGGAAAGAAAAAUUUAGUUAAUCAUCUUGUAUAGCUCCAAUUCAAGUGGAAGCAUCUCAAAUCCACUCUAGCAGGUUCUUAUAACUCUUCCAAGAGAGUUUCCUAACCCUGCUGUGAGCCAAUCUCAAAAAUACCACUAAUACCACUAAUACCACUAUUUCUUACCUCAAACAAGAGAAUAAUGGCUUUACUCACCAUCCAAAGCUUUAAGGUCAGUCAAACCUGAACCAGGGUUGAAGUUAGCACUACAAAGACUCUCCUUCUCCUCUUUCGCAGCUCCCUCAUAACCUCCAAUCUCAGCUAACAAGAAGAGGGAGAAGAGAAAAGGCUAAUUCCAUUAGCUUCUACUUCAAAUAGAGAGAGAACUCUUAGAGAGAGAAAGAGAGAAGCCCUUACCCUGUUCUUAGAGCUCCAGCACACUCUAAGCUGCUGUAGGGAUCGAUCUGGGUACUAAAAGGAUAAGCUCAAAGGUGAUAUGACCAAAACAGCCUCAAUCCACGCAGCUGCUAUGAUGUGUACCGGUACACAGGCAAUGUUGUACCGGCACACUAUGUAAAUUUCUGCAAUUUCGAAUUCCAAUGCACUUUCGAUCUUUUGACGGUUCGAUCACUCUGUUAACUUGUCAAAAACCUUUCCACCACUCUCUAAAAGGUGUGGGUUAGCUCUCAUUACCAACCCUACUCAUCAAACCUCAUAAUUGACCAACUUCGGAAUACUACAUUUGAGUAGUACCUUUGCAAUGCACUUUUCCAUUUCCAGUUAUCUACUUGCUUCAGUAAUUUGCUGAAACUUCUCGACAAUCUUUCACAAGUUGUAGAAUAGUUCCAAUUUCUAUUCCAACACUCGAACUUCACAAUUUGUCAAAGUUCAUAGUACUACAUGCAUUUUAUAGCAUGUUGCCAAAUUAUUGUUUAAUCAAGGUUCUAAAAUUUGUUAGCUAGUUGGGUCUUACACUAUCAGACAUUAUUAUGUGUUAUGUAUAAUGAUAUUAUAAUGAAAUUGCUAUGCUCCUAUUCUAUCGUAAUUUUAUACAUUGGCUCAUGUUGUUCAGCCACGCCCCCGCCCCGAAACCCCUACCAAUUUGGCACGGUUCGAACGUGUAAGGUACUGGACUUCUAAAAUCAUGAAGUUACGGUGUACAUUUGGUUGGAAAGCCAUUUGAAUGGUUCCGAUGAAGUUCGGUGAAGUUCGGAAGCAUUCGGGCAUUUCGGUGCGCGUAGGUGCGGAAAAGGACCCGAAAGGCUAUGUUGCGCCGUGAACUAAAUCCGGCAUUAGCGUGGAUGAAAAGAUAAUGAAAACACGCUUAAAAACGUAUUUGGAGAGUUUCGAUUUGAUUUGAAAAGAAUCGGAGGUCAAACGAGCGAAAACGGAGCAAAAACGGACGAAGGCUGAAAUUUGGCUAAGUCUGGGCUGGAGGUCCCUCGCGGACCGGUCCCAGGUUGAGAGACCGGUCUCUAAGGGACCGGUCCCUCAUGCAAAGACUGGUCCCCGAACCCCGAAAAUGCCCAGUUUGGGCUAUUGCGAGAAAUGCAUUGUUGAGGAUUUUUUAUGCAAUUUUGCACUCAUGUGAGUGUAUAGAAGAGAGAAAUGGGUCUUUUCUCUCUUCCCUCUCAUCCUUGCAACCCUAAACUCUCCCUCUCUCUCUCUAGAAAGAAAAAAAAGUGUCACGCCCC